rnacentral:lncRNA from 1 species
AGAGUUGAUGUGUUACUCAGACUCUGAUUGGUGUGGAGACAGAGUUGACAGAAGAAGUACUUCUUGAUACUUGUUUAAGUUUCUGGAAGUCCUAUUUCUUGGUGUUCCAAGAAGCAACGGAUUGUUGUUUUGUCAACCUGUGAAGCAGAAUAUAUUGCAGGUGUUAUGGCUAGAUGUCAAGCCUCUGAAGCUAAUGAUUGAUAACUAAUCUGCAAUCAAUCUUGCCAAAAAUCCAAUGGUGUAUGGGAGAAGCAAGCAUAUCGAAACUAAGUAUUAUUUUCUGAGAAGUUAGGUUCAAAAUGGAGUGCUAUAAGUUAUGCAUUGUAGCACCCAGAAAUAGUUGGCAGAUGUUCUGACAAAAACAAUCAAGACUUAUCAAUUUCUCCACUUAAGGAAUGGAAUUGAUGUUAUCAAUUUUGAUUAGUUAAAUCUUAAAUUAAGGGAUGAUGUUGAAUGAUAAUUCAUUAUUUUAGUAUUUCACAUACGUAACAUUAUUAUAUAUAUAUAUAUAUAUAUAUAUAUAGUAUUGUAACUGUCAACAGUUGUAUCCACUGAAUAUUGUAGUGCAAUAUAUGUCCAACCAUUUUAUUGUAACCGUUUUAGAGUAGAAGAAAUUUGUUAUUAUUUAUUAUUCACUCUUCUCUCUUCUUCCAUCUUCAUUUUUUUAUCUUGUGUACCAACAAUUACCAAAUUAAAAAAUUGAAAUAAACAUAUUGUGAGACAAACCUAGCAAGCCAUUUGAUUGACAUGAUAAAUCAAAAAUACCAACGCAAUGUGUUUGACUUUUAGAACAUACAUUAGAUUAGACCAUCGUAAAGAACAAAAUGUGUUUGGCUAUUUUUGGUUAAAUAUUAUUAUAACAUUGUUGAGAAUGAAUAGCUUAACUAAUAUAAACCAGCCAAUACCGCGAGCUAAUUACACGAGAUUGGCAUUACAAGGAAAGUUAUUAAACAUAUGUAUAAAAUAAAAUACCAACACCGAUGUUCUUAAUUUUGCAGGAAGAGAAAGAAGUGAAAACAAAAAACUCAAUGGUACAGUCUUCUCACUUUUGACUGCCAGCUUCAGUAGGCUCGACCACUUCAGCUUCUACAGUUUCUAGAACAUGGGGUUGAGUUUGAGUCGACUCAAACUGACUUGGAGGAGAUGACCAUUUACCAUUAAGAGCCAUACCCAUCAUCUCGUAUAUCUUUCCUCCAAGCUGUGCUGGAUUAUCAGGCUGCACACCAACAUAACAUAUUGAGAGUCAUAUGAUCCAAUAUUAGCACAGACAGUUAAAUUUUUAGGCAUGAUUAUAUUAGAUUCUUCUAUUUUUUCAUAUUAUUAACAAUAUCAUUCAUAUCUAUUUUUACAAUGGAACUUAAAUCUCUUUCAUUGCAGUGAUAUUAACAAAGUGCUUACCGUAAACCCACUGGAAACCAAAGCUGCAUCGUACAGAAGAUCAAUAGCUCUGAGGGCCUCUUGAUCAUCCGGAUUAGUUUUACAAGCAGCCUGAAAUUUACCGAUUAAAUUACAUCACCAUUAUUUUAAUUUGCACUUGAUUAUAUCAUUAGACUUAGGACACAUAACAAAAUAGAUUCAUACAUCCAAGUUCUUGAUAAUAGGAUGUUCAGGGUUGAUCUCAAACACCCUUCUGCUUCUCAUGAAUUCCAAGCUAGUGGCAUCACCCAUUGUUUGUGACUUCAUUAGCCUGGAGCAGCAAGUUUGAUUUACAUUCAGCACAGUGCUACUUACAUUUUUAAAAACAUUAUAAUGAAAUGUGUAUGAUAAAGUAAGACCCACCUUUCCAUAUUUGCAGACCAACCAAAUUUUCCUGACACCAGAACACAAGGCGAAGAGCUCAAUCGGUUUGAAAUCUGCACACUUGCAACUUUAUCUCCCAAACGUUUCUUAAUCCAAUCAAUUGUCCCACUAUAUUCCUGCUUAAUCUCUUUUUCCUUUUCCUCAUUUUUGUCACCUGCAGAAACAGAGACAGCAAACUACAUUUAGCAGGUUUAAAUGGUUAAGAACCAAACCAUUAAUCCAUGCCACUGUAAGGGAUACCGGCAAAUAUUUGAUCUAUGAAACACAUAAGCUUCUCAAAGUUGAGUGAUUGUCCAAUAUAGAAUUUAAUCCAAAAUAAAUCACGAGAAGGAAACAUAAUUGAAAAAGAAGUAAACCUAGAUCCAAGUCUUCCUUGCUAAUAUCAACAAAAUUCUUUUCCUUGUAUGAUUUAAUAUUUUGGAUGGCAACCUCGUCUAUCGGAUCCACCAAAAACAGCACCUGCAAGAUUAAAUUAAAUAACAAAAAGCACCAAUAUGAAAAAAAUAAUAAUAAUAAACAAUAGUUGAUCAAAUUUUACAAACUAUAACAAAAACAAAUUUAUACUUCAAGAUCCUUCUCAGCAAGUUUCUCCAAGAAAGGUGUGUUCUUUGCACUAUUCACACUGUCAGCAGCAAUGUAAUAAAUAUCUUUUUGAUCAGGUUUCAUGUUCUCAACAUAUUCAUCCAAGCUGAUAAACUCUUCCUCACUUUGAGAUGAGAAAAACCGAAGCAACGGAGCAAUGCGUUUGUGAUUCUCUCGGUCUUCAAUGCAACCCAAUUUCAAGUGUUUGCCAAAGUUAUCCCAGAACUUCUCAUAGUCCUGCACACAGAACAAGUCAGCUGGUAAAAUAUUAACAGGAAACAAGCAAGCAUUUCUAUAAAUAGUUUUAUAAACAGAAAAAUAAAAGAACUGAGAAAAAUGAAACAAAAAAACUUUCUAACCACAAACUUUCAGAAUUAGAUCAUACCUCUCUGUUAUCACUCAUGGAUAUCCCCAAAAUCAUAUCAAAAGCCUUUCUGACCAAUCGCUUCCUCAUAAUCCGCACCUUCAAGAAGCACAUAGAAACAAAAAAUUUCAGCAGUGUAAAACUAGUAAAGUUUUAUAUAUUUAUAAUCAAAGAAAAACUUGUGGACAUGUUAAGUGCGUGUCUGGACCCUAUCUACUUACUACGCGGCUCUCUUGAAGAAUUUCACGUGACACAUUGAGCGGAAGGUCAUUUGAGUCGACCACACCUUUGACAAAACUCAAGUAUCUUGGGAACUGUUCAAGUAAGUAAUACAUCAGAGCAUGAUAAAAUACUGAAAAAAACAAUCCAGUUACUCAAGACGUCAAGAUGCUUGUACAGGAAAGUGCCUAUACCAGUUCUCCAUCAAAGUCAUCUGAAAUAAAUACUCUCUUCACAUAAAGUCUUAUAUUCUUGGUCUUGGGAUUGAUUACGUCAUCCUUCCCUGAUGGAGCAUAGGGAGGAACAUAAAGUAUAGACCUAAAUUCUACCUCGCCCUGCAUAUCAUCACCAGAAUAUUAGCUGUCAGCUUAGUAUUGUGAUUAUCAUGCUUAACAAGAUUGCACUUGAGAAAAAAAACAUACCUCUGUGGUAAAGUGUGAUGAUGCCAACGGCUCCAGGUAUUCAUUAAAUGUUUUCUUGUAAAACUCGUUGUAGUCCUCUUUGGUGACUUCUUUAGGAUUACGAAGCUGCGCGGAUAGAAUAAUGUGUAAAUCUUCAUCUUAGGUAACCAACUUCCACUUUAAGCACAAAUCAUGCAGUUGGAAAUCAUAAAACUAACCCAGAUAGGUUGUGUCUCAUUUGUGAGCUCCCAGUCCCAAUACUUCUCAACAACAGUCUUAGUUUUCUUCUUCUUCUGUUAUAAAAAUGUGUCAGGUUAUAAAACGGCCAGCACAUAUAUAGCAGUUAUACAAUCAAAUUUUUGUAAUCAUAAUUUCAUAGAAAAUUGAUUCAGGGAAUGCACGGCAUGUGCAAAACAUUACCUCAGUCUUCUCAUCUUGGUUGUCUGUUUUCGCCUCAGCUGGAUCCUCAUCAACCUCUAUCUGUAAUGGACAAAUUAUGAUAAAAGCUCAAAAACCAAAUUCACGUUCAGUUUUCAAGAAAGGGUUGUGGAAUGAAACAAUCAGAAAAACGGACAGCGUCAAUAAAAUUAAAAGAUCUGGAGUACAUAGUCAUACUUCUUUGGUGAAUCCCUUUUCCUGCCAAGUGUAUAUUGGGAAUGAGACAAAUUGGGAGUAGUUUUUCACAAGCUUCUCAAUUCGCUCUGGAUGAGCAAAACCUUUGUCAUCCCUCUGAAAACCAGUGGGUAAAAUACAAAAACAACCAUAAGCUCCAGAAUAAAGAAACUAAAAUAUUAGCAGAAGCUCUAAAAUAGAAAAUUUUGACAUACCUUAAGAUGCAGGGUAAGGCGAGUUCCUCUUGGAAUCAGCUUCUCCUGGUCUGUCUCCUCAGAUAUGGUAUAUGAGCUAGCAUUUACCUCUCCUUCCCAAAUAUAUUGUUUAUCUGAUCUUGGACUCUUGGUUGAGACAACCACCUUCAAACCAUACAAAAAUAUACAUAUAUAAUCUGCCAAAUAAAAAUUUAAAAUGAAGUACCGUGUCAUCAUCACUUUUAUCCAAAUGCAUACCCGGUCAGCAACUAGAAAAGCAGAAUAAAAUCCCACACCAAAUUGACCGAUUAAGUUGUUGUCACCACCAGCACCCUUACUAUCCUUUUGAACGAAACACCUUUGUCAGCACACAGGAUACAUAGCAGCAAAAUAAAAUAAGGUCAAUAUAAUCCUAAAUCAUUCUUCAGAAGAGGUAAGACCUUGAGAGCCUUCAAAAACUUUGCAGUUCCACUUUGAGCAAUAGUUCCAAGACAGUCAACUAGUUCCUGCUUAGUCAUGCCAAUGCCUGUAUCACUGCAUAAAGCAAAAGUUACAGCACCAACUGCAUUGAAACAAAUGAAAAAAUUAAUUAAUUAAAAGUAAAUUGUCAUACGUGAUAGUGAUGAUCCCAUUAUCUUUAUCAGCUUGAAUUCGGAUAUCAAAAUCAAUUGCAUCCUUCAUCAGGUCAGGCUCUGUAACACUCAAAAACCGCAGCUUAUCCAAGGCAUCACUUGCAUUGCUGAGAAAAAAAUGCACAUAUUAACAAACUGAAUAAUGCAAUGCAGCACAUCAUCUAAUCAACACAGAAGACAUAGAUUGCUUGAAUUUUUCAACAAUAUUUAUAUAACAAAUUUUGAAGUGGAGCUUCGAUACAAGGGUUCUUUGAGGUGAAAAGGUUCAGCUUGAGGAAUUAGCUUCAUGACAGUUAGAGGUAAAACGACCUACAAACAAUAAAUGCAUAACAGGUCCAGCCCUUCCCAAGAUUCUUCCAUUAUAGGAUAUUUAUAAGACUAGAUUGCCCUGGUUUCUAGAAAUAGUUUUCUAGUAGAAAGAGAGAGAAGCUUAAGUAACUUUUUUCAAAAUGAAUACUGAAACUUGCUGCAAUCUAUUGGGGGGAGGGGGAAACCAGAACUAGUGUAUACCCUAAAAGGGCAAUUUAAGUUAGUAAUAUUAGGCGCAUAAUUGAGGAGAAAAACAUUCGUCAAUGCUUAAACUAUGUAAUUCUAUCCACCAGUGACGGAACGUACCUGAUAAGUUCCCUGAGAAACACUUCCUUGUUACUGUAUAAACUGUUAACAAUAAGGUCCAUGAGCCGACUAACCUGCCAAAGAUACACAGUAUCCAAAACAAUGUUCACGAUAUAUAUCAAGCGCGCUAGAGGUAACAAACCACAUACAUAAUAAAGACGACAGUACCUCUGCUUGGUACUCAAAUUUCUCAGCUGGUGGGGAACUUGAUGCACUAGAUUCUGCAACAGUUGAUUCAUAUCGUUUUCCCAAAAACAAAUCUGUUUUCAAGUUUAGCUGAUUAACACUGCCGGAUUUCUCAGAACCUAAUAAUGAAUACCAUCUGGAUUUUGUGUCAUUCUCUCCCACCUGCUCCCAAUCAGAAAACAUAAGAUAAGUGUAAACAAAAAAAUAAUUAUUGAAGCAACAAAUAUUAUCAAUGCUCCCACUUUUAAACUUCAAAAAGGUUAGUGCAAUCAUCUAACACGGAAAACCAACUAUGUAACUUCAAAAUCAUUCAUAACAAAACACAAAACAUGAGUUUCAAAAAACCAUUUCCAGUUGCAAUAAUAGUUCUAAUGCCCAUGCUACCACUUUUAAAUUCAAAAGUGUAAUCAUCUAACACAUAAAACCAACUAUGUAACUUCAAAAAGGAUGUAAGCAAACUUCAAUUUGUUAUAAUAGUAAUCAUUCCCGGACAUCUGAAACACAACACCGACCGAUAAUAAUUUGAAAAAAAUAAUAAAUUAAAUAUAAUCAAAGUGAAAGACACACGCUAGGUGUGGGUGCUACAAAGUUCAUAACAAAACACAAAAACGCGAGAUUCAAAUAAUCAUUUCCAGUUGCAAUGAAAAUUAAACUAAUGAUCUAACGAUAAUCAUCAUCAUAUAAUCAUUUCAAUGUUGCUGUCAAACUUAAUAAAAAUCAAACCACACAAAUAACAAUAAAACGAUAACGACUAGUUAGCGAAACUUCGGAUGUAGAAAUUGAGAUUGUUGUGUGCAACUAUAGAGGCGAGAAAGAUGAAUACCAAAUGAGAGUAAGAUGUGGAAAGUGGGAGAGCCGCGUCACGGCGAAGUGCGCCGCCGUAACGGAGUAGGGCGGAGACGGAGGAAGAGCGAUUGGAGAGUCUGUGCAUAGUGAAUUGAGCAGAGAGCGAAGAGAGAGUGUGAGAUUCGAAAAAUGCGUUGAGCAGAGAAAUGGUAGUAGGGUUUUAGCAGGGGUUUGUGUUACCACAAAAUGGGGUUUUCAGAAGCUUCUCGAUUCACCUUGUUUCCACAAGUCGCUUUUUUUUUAAGAAAAAAUUCACUUCUAUUUUUCUUAUGCAACCAUUUAAAAAAUUUUAAUAUAUUUAUUUUGUUUUUCAAAAAUUCUUAGUAAGUUGUUAAUGAUAUCUCUUUGUGAUUUGUUUUUUAAUUUGGUUUGUAUUUGAAUUGUAUUUAGUUUGGAUUUGUUUAUAUAAAAUAAAGCUUAGUUUUAGUUUAUAAUUAAAUUUUUUCAUUCUAACUGUUUUUGUAUUUGAGAGUAAAAGUUAGUUACAAUUUUUUCUCUUUCUUUCAUCAUCUUCUUUUUUUUCAUUCUAGUGUACCAACAAUUCAUUUUGAUUCAGGAGCGGAAAACAGGAGUAUACGUGAGGCGUAUGUGGUUGAUUUUAUUCAUUCAAUUCACAUUGAAUUGAAGGUCGAAAUCGAAACAGAAUCGCAUUUCUUGAUGUUGUGGAAUUGGGAAACACAAAUGUUGGUGAGAUCUGAGUGAAUUUGCACAAGAACGGAGAUGAACGGCGGAAACGGUUGCUUGAACACAAAGCUUCCAGUAUUUGAUGGAAAGAAUUGGAAUUUGUGGAUGAUUCAGAUUCAUGUGUUAUUUUGCGCUCAAGAUGUUCUUGAUCUCGUCAAUGACGAUUACACAGCGGUUGCAGCAGAUGCAACAGAAGCACAGAGAAAUGCGCAAAGAGAAACGAGGAAGAAGGAUCGUAAGGUGUUGUUUUAUGUCCAUCAUUGUGUGGAUAUGAAUGUGUUUGAGAAAGUCGUUUAUUCAACGACGGUGAUGGCUACGUGGAAUACACUUGUACGAUGCUAUGACGGUGAUGCAUCCGGGAAGAAUGUGAAGCUUCAGUCUCCAUGAAAGCAUUAUGAGAAUCUCAACAUGAAGAACAAUGAGUUGGUACCUGAUUACAUCUCCAGGGUGAUUUUAAUCACAAAUGAGAAGAAAUCUUAUGGAUAAACUCUCUCUGAACAAGUAAUCAUUAAAAAGGUACUGAGAUUACUUACUCCUCAGUUUGAUUACAUUGUUGUAGCAAUUGAACACUAUAUGGACCUCAGCACCAUGAAAACUGAAGAGUUGUAGAGUAGUCUAGAGGCACAAGAGUUGCGUCUGACUGAGAGAAACUCUGAAAGAGAAGUAUAGCAGGCUCUAAGAGCGUCUUCUAGUAAGAAGAAUCAAACGCAUUCUUGGUGAGAGGCUAAGAAGAGACAUAGUGGUGGUUAUCAGAAGUAAGAAGCCUUCAACUCUGAUGAGAAGAAACAUCAUAAAGGAAAGGAGAAGUUUGACAAGAAGAAGGUUUAAUGUUACUGUUGUAAGAGUUUGACUAUUUUGUUGUUGACAGUUGGUUAAACAGGAAAGGAAAUCAGAAGAAGGAAACAUAGCCAGAUGAGAUUCUAAUGAUGAACUUGUGUUAUUAAUGGCAUUUGAAAGUAAAGGUGAAAAUUUGGUAGAUUUGUGGUAUAUGGACAUUGGCUGCUCAAAUCAGCUAACUGGAAAUAAGAAAUGGCUGGUUGAUUUUGACUCUGAAAAAAGGACCAAGAUCAUAUGUGAUGAUGAUAAGUAUCUGAAUGCUGAAAUAAGGGGAAAUGCCAGAGUGACUCUGAAGAAUGGUAAAACUACAUUGAUUCAGGAUGUGUGGUUUGUUCCUGGCAUGAAGAGCAAUUUUCAGAUUCCAAACUCUAUGAGCUUGUUUCAAUCCAUACAAGGUUUUAUGUAACUUGUACACCAUCCAUUCCCGAUUCUUUUUCACAAAUCCAGGAGGUUAUGACACAUAAACUUUCUUUUGUAAAGGACCAUUCAAAAUGCAUAUUUUACAUCCAAAUGCAUUAGAGGCCAAUUUCUAUUAACAACUAUAGCAAUCACUAAUCUGAUUGUUUCAUGCCUAGCUACAGACGCAAACACCUCAAAGUAAUCUAAUUCAUAUUUCUAUAGAAAUAUUUUAUCUACUAACCUUGUUUUGUGUUUGCCAAUUGAUCCAUCUGGCUUCAAUUUCAACUUGUAAAUCCAUCUCCCGUAGAUGGCUUUCUUAUUCUUUAGAAGCUCAGUCAACUCUCAAGUCUUGUUUCUUUCUUUGCCUCAAUUUAUUCUUUCAUAGCCUUCAACUACACUUUCUUCUUGAGAGCUUCUUGAGUACUAACUGGUUAAGAGUUUACCAACAUGGCACACUGAUUGAGUUCCCCUUUAGAGUCUAUCUUAGUAUCUUGCAACAUAUCAAACUCUGAAAAUCUUCCCGAUAUUUAUCUUAUUCUUUGUGGCCUCUAAACUUGUUCAAAAUAUUUUUCAAAUGUUGGAAUAGUAUCAGAUGUUGAACUACCUUUAGAGGUUGGGCCACCUUCAGAAGCAUGGCCACCUUUAAAGGCAUGAUUACCACUAGAGUCUGGAUAAUCAUCAGAAUCUAUAUCAAAAUCAGAUUCACCUUUAGAGUCUUCUUCAGAGGCAAAAUCUCCUUAGGAAUCUUCUUCAAACUCAUCUUCAGAAGCAUAAUCUCCUUCAGAGUCUGAAAUAUCUUUAGAAGUUAACUCAGGUGUUAACACUGCACCAGAGUUGGAUUGAUACUUGUUCCAACCCCAUGCUUUUGUUUCCUUCAUAAUUACAUCUUUAUUGACUUCAACUUUUUUAGUGACAAUAUAGUAGAGUUUAUAAGCACAUGUAUUAUAGUACCCUACAAGAAACAUGACUUUGUUUCUGUUAUUCAACUUCCUUCUCUUAGCACAUGGGACAUGUUUAUAACAACCAGAACCAAACACCUUCAUAUGGCUCACACUUUGCUUGCUUCCAGUCCACUUAUGAAUAGGAACUACUCCCUUCAACGUCUUUGUGGGACACCUAUUGAUCACAUAUGUUGAAGUAGCAACAAUUUCACCCCAUAAUGUAUGAUGCAAAUUCUUCUCUUUCAGCAUGCUCCUAGUCAUAUCAAGUAAAGUUUUGUUUUUCUUUCAGCAAGACCAUUGUGUUGAGGAGUGUAUGGAGCAGUAACCUCAUGCUCUAUUUCAUUCUCCUCACAUUACUUCUAGAACUCUAUAUAGUUGUACUCACCUCCACUAUCAGUUCUGAGAAUCUUUAGAUUUUGUCCACUCUGAUUCUCAACCUUGACUCUGAACUUCUUGAAUUUAGCAAACACCUCGUGUUUGAACUUUAUGAGAGAUACUUGUGUCAUUCUUGUGAACUCAUCCACAAAUGACACAAAGUUCUUAUUCCCUCCAAGUGAAGGUACCAGAAAUGGUCCACAUACACCAUAAUGUACCACACCCAAAGCAUGCUUUACUCUUUGAGGCAUUUUUGAUGAAAAUGGAAAUCUUGGUUGUUUUCCUUUCAUGCAUACACUACCUGAUUUUUCUGGAUCCAUAAUUUUAGGAAUGCCAUGAACUCUAUUCUUUUAAUUCAUAUGCCCUGAGAUUCUAAAAUUUAGAUGCCCCAAUAUCUUGUGCCACAACCCACUUUCCUUUAGAACACUUGUUGCACUGAGGCAUUUAGAGACUACAAUUUUAACAUCCACCUUAAAUGUCUUAUUCCUUCCAUGUCUAAACUUGAUAAUCAGCUUCUGAUUACAAUCAUAUAAUUUCAAGAGAUUUCCAUUCAUGGUUACUGAAAAACCUUUUUCAAUUAGUUGAUCAACACUCAUCAUAGUGCUCUUCAUGCCAGGAACAUACCACACAUCUUGAAUUAGUGCAAUUUUACCAUUCUUCAUAGUCACUCUGACAUUUCUCAUUCCUUCAACAUUUAGAUACUUAUCAUCAGCACGUCUGAUCUUAGUCCUUUUUUCAGAGUCAAAAUCAAUGAGCCAUUUCUUAUUUCCAGUUAGGUGAUUUGACAAGGUGUCCAUAUACCACCAGUCUAUGAAAUUUUCACCUUCAUUUUCAAAUGCUAUUAAUAGAACAAGUUCAUCAUCAGGAAGGGAUGGUGUACAAGUUGCAUAAAUCCUUGUAUGGACUGAAACAAUCUCCUAGAACUUGGAAUCUAAAUUGAUUCAUUUUUAAGCUUCAAGGAUUUAGAAAGUGUGAGAUGGAGUAUGGUGCUUAUGUUCAGCAUAUAUCUGAUAGCAAUAUGAUUAUGGUGUGUCUAUAUAUUGAUGACAUAUUGCUAACAGGGAGUUGUUCAUAUGAGAUAAUCAAGUUCAAGAAGGUGUUGAUGAAUGAGUUUGAGAUGAUUGAUAUAGGAAAUAUGGUAUAUUUUCUAGGAAUGGAGAUUUUGUACUCUAAUAAGGGUAUAAUUUUACAUCAACUGAAGUAUGAACUUGAGGUUCUAAAAAGAUUUGAGCUAAUAAAUGACAAGUCUGCAAUCACACUUGCUGAAAUAAAUCAAAAGCUAGAUUCUGAUGUUGAGGCUAAUGAUAUAGAUGCUACAACUUUUAAACAGUUGGUGGGCUCAUUGAGAUAUCUCUGUAGCACCAGACCUGACAUCUACUAUGCAGUUGGAAUUGUGAGUGGGUGUAUGAACAAACCAAAGUGGUCACAUUACCAAGCUACUGUCAAAAUACUGAGGUAUAUUAAUGGAACUCUGAGGUAUGUAGUUUUAUUCUCUUCUGGUGUUAUAUCUAAUUCAGAGUUGAUAUGUUAUUCAGACUCUAAUUGGUGUGGAGACAAAGUUAACAGAAGAAGUACUUAUGAAUAUUUCUUCAAGUAUUUGAGAGGCCUCAUUUCUUGGUGCUCCAAGAAGCAACCAGUGGUAACACUAUCAACCUGUGAAGCUGAGUACAUUGCAUGUGCUUUGUCUGCGUGUCAAGUUGUUUAUAUUAUGAACUUAUCAUCUGAUUUGAAGAUUAAGGUGAGCAAGCAUGUGAUGUUGAUGAUUGACAAUAAAUCAACUAUAAUCUUUGCCAAGAAUCUAGUGUUGUAUGGAAGAAGUAAACACAUUGGCAGAAAGUUCCACUUUCUGCACAAUCAGGUUUAAAAUAUAGUACUUGAAGUUGUUCACUAUAGUACUCAUAAGUAACUUUUUGUUGUGCUGACUAGAGCUAUUAAUACUGAAUACUUUAUCCAUUUGAGGGAUGAAAUUGGUGUUGUUGGUUUUAAUUAGUUGAAUAUGAAUUAAGGGAUGAUCUUAGUUGUAAUUCAAAUUCAAUUUUAUUUGCUUUUAAAUUUGAUUUGCAUUUGAAUUGCAUUUAACUUGGCCUUGUAGCCUUGUGUACCUAAGUUAAAGCUUAGUUUCAGUUUGUAAUCGGAUUUUUUCAUUGUAACUAUUUUUGCAUUUAGAGUAAAAGUUAAUUACAUAUCUCUCCUUAUCUUAUGUAUAUUGAAAUUUAUCAAUUUCAAGAUGAUUAAUUUAUGUUUCAAUAUAUCAUGCAUGUCUUAUUUUCAAAAUUAUCUUAACUAAGUUUAAACCUUCAUGACAAAUUUUUGCUAUAGUUAUUUAUACAUAUAAAUUUGGUUAGAUCUUUUAUCUUAUCAUCUCUAUAAUUGAGAAUAUUUACUUGAAUCACAAGCUAUGAGAUUUGAUUUUAGAUAUCCUUCAAUUAUAUGUUUAAAAGCAUCUUUAUUUUUUGUCCAUCCUUAUUAAUGAGCUUAGUUCGAUAUGUUUUUCUAAACUUCGAGUUUUACGCAUAACAAAGGUCCUUAAAAUGUUAAAAGCUUAAUCGUAACUUUUGUCUAUUUUUCUUUUUUUUAGUUUUGAUGUUUCCAUUUUAAAAUUUGGGUUUUUAUUCUUAAAUUCUUUUUUAAAAAAAAUUUAGUACUCUUUCAAAUUUAAGAUCAAAUUUUAAUGACAUAUCAUUUGAAUUGAUGAUGCGUCAUUGUCGCUAUUACAACAAUUAAUUUCAAAUCAUUUUUAUUAAAUUUUAGUUAUAUAUCACUUUUUUUAAAAUUUGAAAAUUUAAUUAUUUAAAAUAAUAAGAACACAAUUCUGAUGCACCAUAUGUUUGAACCUCUAUCCUCAAAGAUAUAAAGGUCACCUUCUAGCCGCUCAGCUACAAAUGUUUAUUUGUUAUAAGUCGAAGAUUGAGUAUCAUAAGUCAUUGGGUUUGAUACAUUCAUUGCCUAUCCCCAAGUGGAAGUGGGACAACAUUUUGAUGGACUUUAUGCCUGGUUUUCCGAAGACAGUGAAGAAUUGUGAUACCAUUUGGGUUAUUGUGGAUAUGUUGACUAAGUUGGCUCACUUCCUUCCGAUUCGACUUAACUAUCUAUUGGAGAAACUAGCAGGGUUGUAUAUUGAGAAGAUUGUCAGUUUGCAUAGGAUUUCAUCCAAUAUUGUAUCUGAUAAAGAUCUAAGGUUUACAUCGAGGUUCUGGGAAAGUUUGCAGAAGACCUUGGGUACGAGGUUGUGUUUGAGUUCAGCUUACCUUCGCAGAUAGAUGGUCAGACAAAUGACUAUCUAAUCCCUAGAAGACUCGUUGAGGGCUUAUGUGCUAGAAUAAAGAGGUUCUUGGACUAUCCAAUCGAUGUUUGAGGCGUUGUAUGGUAGGAAGUGUAAGACACCUUUAUGUUUGUAUGAGUCGGGAUAAGGUGUUGUGAUUGGACCGAAGAUUGUCCAGUAGACCACAGAGAAGAUCAAAGUGAUCCAAGAGAAGGUGAGAGCUUCGUAAAUCGCCAAAAGAGCUAUCACGAUAAGCCAAGGAAUGCAUUUGAGUUCUGAGAGGGGGAUCACGUGUUUCUGAGAGUUACUCUGCUAAUUGGUGUUGGUUGAGCUUUGAAGUCUCGAAAGCUCACUUUGCAUUUCAUCGACACGUACCACAUUUUGUAGAGGAUAGGAUAAAUGAUCUAUUAUAUUGCUUUAUCAUUGUCGCUUUCUAAUCUUUAUAAUGUGUUUCAUGUGUCUCAGUUGAGGAGAUACAUUACAGAUUUGUCUCAUGUGAUCUAAGUUGAUGAUGUGCAAGUGAGAGCUAACCUGACUGUUGAGGCAUCACCCAUGCGGAUAGAGGAUCGGGAAGUAAAGCAGUUUUAUGGUAAAGAUAUUACCUUGAUGAAUGUAGCUUGGGGAGGACCAGCUGGUGGAAACAUGACUUGGGAUCUUGGGAGUCAGAUGAAGGAUUCGUAUCUGAAUCUGUUUACUUAAGGGAAUUUUCUAGGGCGGAAAUUCUUUAAGUGGGGGGAGAGUUGUAACACUCCAAUUUUGAUUUAAUUACUUUGGUUGAUUUAUUUGUGACUUUUACAUAAUUUGUUUAAUUAUUAUGUGUUUAAUUAAAUAAGUGGUGUGUUUAUAUGUAUGGUUUGGGGCGUGAAGGUAUUAGUGGGGUGUAGAGGAAGAGUUGGAAGUUGAUAGAAGUAAUUUAGAAUUAUUUUAAUGAUUAAAAUAAUAGCAAUUAUUUUAUUUAUUUAAUUAAAGGAGGAAAUAGAGAAAAUAGGUCAAAAGUGAAAAAUAAGAGAAAUAUGAGGGAAUAGGGAAUAAGAAAGGAUUUGAUGUGGGGAGGAAAAUAAAAAUAGUGAGAACUGGAUUAAUUAGAUUAAUAUAAGUUAGAGAGCUCUAAUUAUAAUCAGUACGUAGAAACUUUGAGAAGAGAGAAAGAGGAUAGAGACAAAAGGGAGGCUAGAAGUUGAAGGAAGAACACGUUCAAACCAGUUCAGAUUCAAAUUGCUUGCUAGGAAUUGAGGUAACGGGAAAAUGGAUUCAAUAAUAGGUAUAUACUUAAGGGGUAGAGUUGAGGAGUCCUUAACCUCCAAUAGGUUUAUAUGAUUAUGGAUGUUUUGUUGUGUGGGUAUGUGAAUCUUAAAUUUGGUAAUCAAUUGGUGUUAUAAUCAAUUUUUCAUGAUGAAAUUCGUGUACAGUAUAUGAGAUUUUCUGUUUUGAUUUGUUAAUGCGUUUUUGAUAACGCGACAAUAUAUCGUAUAUUUGACUUGACUUGCAUUUCAUUUUACUUAUUUUCCAUAGCAUUAUGUCGUACUUUGUGUUUAUUUCAGGUAUUUAUCGAAUAAGAAGUGUUUAUGCAAGCAAAGCGGGAAAAGAGCAAAAAGAAAAGAAAAAUGGAAGAAAAUGAAGAAAAUGGUAAUAGGUGGCGCCCACCACCACAUGGCAAGAGUGGCGCCCACCACCAAAUAAAAGAGGGUGGCGCCCACCACCAAGCAAGAGUGGCGCCCACCACCAAGCAAGGUGUGGCACCCACUACCUAGGGUUGUGCCACCCGCCACCAAACCACUUCCUCUUUAUUUUUCUCCACGCCCCGUUUUUCUCGGUCAACCAACCACGCCCACUACGAGAUCUUCAAGGCUUCUUUCAAGGCAAUGAGUAGGGAGUAUAUAUCAGGGUUUCGAUCUUGAAAGACCGGACCGUCUCUUUUAGGCAAAAAAAUUAUUGUUAGUAUUUUAAGCAGAUAUUUACUUGUAAAGUGAUAGAUUCUCCACAUCGGAGGACUAUUACGACUUUAAUUUUAGUAAUUAAAUUUGAUUGUAACGGUGUACCCGAUUUGCAAAGCGUGCCGGUAUUAUUUCAAUUCAAGAACCAACAUUAAUUCCAGUUUUUCGGUCUAUAUUCCAGGUUCUACUUUAAUUGAUAUUUUACUUGCUUAUGCUUUGUCUUAUGUUUAAUUAUCAUAAUAUUAUGUUUGUUCUCGGAUCCAUGUCUGGUUAAACCAAUUGAUAUCGGUAUGUAAAGACCGUCAAAAUGAUAAGAUUCAUUAAUAAUUAGUGUUGACUUUUAUAAAAUGUUUUUCUGGUUAUAGUUUCUUGUUCUAAAUUUAAAACUGUUUUCGUACGAGAGUACAAAGCAAACGAGGGUUACGGUCAAUAAAACGAGAGUUUAAGGUUUUAACCGGAUAGCUGAAACUAGACAUUAAUUCUGAAUACACCGAGAGCGCUUUAGGAUUAACUAGAAUUUAUUGAUUUCCAAAAAUUACUUUUAAUUCAAAUGAGACAGGGAGAACGAAGCAUUCUCGUUUAAGAGUAUAGUCAGUGUCAACAACACGAGAGUGUGAGAUAAAGUCUUCUAAAUAAAUAAUUUAGGCUAAAGAGAAUUUUGACGUUUAAGAUUACAUCAACUAUUCAUCGAAUCCCCGAAGUUUGAUUUGUUACAUACAUAUAUCCCGCUAUUAAAUAUUUUUAUUAAAAUUCAGUUUUCGUUAGUAGUUAUUUCUCAUUGUCCCUCAACCCCUAGAGAAAUCAUCAGCCCUAGAUUUACGUAGUAACAUUAGAUAACGGUAAGUUCGAUUAUUAGUCCUUUGGGUUCAAUAAUCUUUAAAACUACGCGAUACGACUGUGUGUCGCAUUACGCGAAAAACCGGCGGAAAAACGAAAUAACAGAGCCGCCACCGUGCGUUAUUUAUCCCAAAAGAGGGAAAGGAAACGCUCAAAGUAAACCUGGAAAGGACAUGGUCUCGCGACCAGAGAUCGAUAGGAUCGGGAGUCGGUUAUGCAAAGGGAAGGUAUUAGCACCCCUACGCAUUCGUCGUACUCGACGAGAUCCACGCUCAAAAAGAUUAGAAGAAAGGUUGCUAAAGAAACUGCUCAAACACUGCACACACACUGGAAGGAGACACAGAAAGACAAAAGAAACGGGACUCGACAGGAUAUCGCAUCCUGGGCCUACGUAGUCUGUCAGACACAGACAUCAGAGUCGACGUAGUUCGGGAACAGGGGAAACAUGCUCGCUAGGAUGUCGCAUCCUAUGCAUACGUAUCUUCUCUGACCGGAGAAGAAUCAGAGCACUCGUAGCUCGGCUAACGCACGCCAAACAAAACCCACACAGGAAACCGACUGCUGCAUCCUAUGCAUACGUAUCUUCUCUGACCGGAGAAGAAUCAGAGCACUCGUAGCUCGGCUAACGCACGCCAAACAAAACCCACACAGGAAACCGACUGCCAAUCGCUGGACUUACGUCAGACUCCAUACAAACAGGCAAACAUGGAAACCGAAUGCCAAUCGCCGGACUUACAUCAGACUCCGAACCAACAAACACACACAGGAAACCAACUGUCAAUCGUUGGACUUACGUCAGACUCCAACAAGCAAACAAGACACAGGAAACCGACUGCCAAUCGCUGGACUUACGUCAGACUCCAAACACACACAAAGGGGUUGCAAAAGAAAAAGGGCGCCCAGAGAGACCAGCUCAUCUCCUGCCUACGUACCUCAUCUGGUAUGAGGAUCAGGGCGACGUAGUUCCCCUACGCAGGGAAAGAACUUCUAUCUUAACCAGAGACUAGGAAAUGACGAACUAGAAGGGAGCCUGACUCGAGCCUAAUAGUCAUCAUGUAAUCCACAAUGGUCCUAGGUUGAGGUUUCUAUCCUAACUUGCACGGGAAGCAAGCUAUCCUAAACAGCACAAUCAAACAAACAAGCACAGUAAAGCAAUCACACACACUAUAUGCAAGCAAUUGGGCUCAUACAGGGCUAGGCUGCAGAAACAAGCCAACUGGAAUGGGGUGAUUUUAGCUCUUAACCCUAACAUUGAGAGUUAGGGUGAAGUAGAUGAAAUGGAGAUGAGUGGUGUGCCUCAUAGCUCUUAUCCCUGGCCUGGGAGAGCUUGACUCAAAAUAGAAAGUGUGGGAGUUCAGAAUGUAGGAACUCUUCUCCACAGAUGACUGACACUACAAGAGUUUGGGUUUUUAUUCCACCAAUGCAGCAACCACAGUAGUGAGCAAGAGGAAUGACACACUGAGUAGCAGGAGGAUUACACAUCCCUUUUAUCUGCCAAUUGCCUCCUAAGAGGUCUUUACCUGCUUGGCACAAAAUUAAACAUUCACAAACAUUGCCUCUUAAGGAGGGCUUCAGACAGGUGCCUACCAAUAACAAUAGGUCUUCCAGACUACAUGAAGUCAAGAGAUCAUACCUCAGUGGUAUGCAAACUACAAGCAAUGCCAAGCAAGUUCAAAUGAACUAAAAGCAACUUAGGUACCUUUGGAAACAUCUAAACCAAUCAGUUCAACUGUACAGACAAACAAUCAACAGUUAAUAACAAGCAGACAGACAAAGCUUCAUCAGACAACAAUGAGCAAGCCACAAGCACAAGUGAAUUGUUCUCAAAGCCUACAAAACACAGAAAGGUUAGCACAUGACAACAAUUGACCAAGCUUAAAUGAAGGAGCCACUCCAAUCAUGGAAAUGUACACUUGAACCUGAAAUUCACAACCCAAAUGGUAAGUCCAAACCACUAGGUCAAAGCCUAGUGCUUAAAUGAAGGAGCCACUCCAAUCAUGGAAAUGUACACUUGAACCUGAAAUUCACAACCCAAAUGGUAAGUCCAAACCACUAGGUCAAAGCCUAGGGUCAAAAGAGGAUCAAAAAGUCAAAACAGGGACUGAAAUUUAACACAAAGCAACUUCAAACACAUAUUGACAUAUCCUAAAAAGGCUCACAUUAAAAUCAUUAAUCAAAUGCAUUUCAUGAUCAAGUGAAGUCAAAGUCAAUUUCAAAGUUCAUAUGUAAUCAACAUGAAUGAAAAUUCUCAAUCAAAACAGAAAUGAUUCAAAUAAAUCUGGAAAAAUUCAUGAGCAAUCAAGACAUCAAUAACAUCCAUCACACAUAAAAUCAGAAGCAUUGGAGAUCAUUUGGCAUGGCAAUCACAUUGUACAAGUCAGACAACCAAAUGUGUGACACAAAUUGUCACACCAAGUUAGCACAAGCAUAAAACAGAAAUGGAGCUUGGGAAAAAUGUCAAACCAAAGCCAAAAUGUCCAUCAAUAUGUCUAGAAUCAACAUGCAAAAUUUCAGGUUCAUUGGAUAAGAAACAAGCAUUUUAUGACAAGAUAAGCAAGGAAAGGUGAAAUAUGCAUAUAUGUUCAAACAUCCUAGGGAAAAUUAAUUUUCCAGCAAUGCACAACUUUCAAAUUCAUGCUCAUAAAAAACUAGACAGAAUAAGGAGCAUUUUGCAAAAAAUUGGGAUGAAAUUGGAUCAAUUUUCAAUUUGAUAUGAUUUUUCUAAGUUUGGGAAAAAAAUGAAGUUCAAAUUACCUGGUUCCGUACUUUUACCCUCCCUUUUCCACUUUUAGUUGAAGCAUUUGAAAAAAUGCGCUCGCUCAGUAUCGAACCCUUGCCAGAUUCAAAUUUGCGCGCCCAACCUAAAACGACAUCGUCUCAACUAAAGCCCUAGCGCCGGUAACACGUUCCCAGAAUUUCGUAGCAAAUGUGAAGAUUUCGUGGCUAAUGGAAGAACAUUCGUAGCAAAACCAUAGCAAGCUCUGGAAAACGCAUGAUCUUCAUAGGUUGAAGAUGAAGAUUGCAUGAUGUUCAUAAGCAAAUUCCAGAAAAUCCAAAACGUUCCAGAAAUCAAAAAUAAUUACAUCAAUCUACUCCUCGUUUCAUGCACAUCAAAGAUCCAUAACCAAAUCAUGCAAAAACAUCAUAACAAGUUCAGAUCGAAGGAAAUAAGAUUUGACGUCAAACUUUCAAUCAAGCAUAACUUCAUGAAUAUUGCGCCAUUUCACUCAAAUUUUAUACCAGAAUGAUCACCAAUGAAAGAUCUACACAAAUAUCAUGAUGAAUUGCAAAAUAAGUGAACUCGAAACCUGACCUCUUUGAAGAACAAAAUCUGGAAUCGUGCUCUACAAAGCUCAGUAAUGCCUCAAAUCUUCUCUACAAUGCUUAUUGAUGUGAGUGAUGAUGAAUUGGAUGCUCCAGCAUGCACGAACUUAGCUCAAUUUGCAAUCUCCAUUGAAUCUUCAAGCUUCAAGUAUGAGCAAAAUAUGGCACGAAUCCUCUUAAAUCCACGUUCAAACUUGCUCAAGAAUGCUCCAUGAUCAUGAUUCCAUCAAUAGAAAAUGCUUUUGUGUGAAGAAUUGCAAAAUAUUUUUGAGAGAAAAAUUUGGAUGAUUUUUGAAUCUAGAUCUGAAAAUGGAUGUUCAUCGUGAAAGCAGUUAAGAUUAUCGAAUAUAUAGGGUACGAUUAGUAAGACUUUUGGUCAAAUUCGGUUUCGAUAUCAAGAUUAACAACUUAUAAGGUGUAUGAGAAAAUUGGUAUUUGCACCUCAUGCCUUUCAUGCAUGCGUGAACAGUGUACAAUACUGAUCCAAAAUCACUUAAACAAGGCCCAUGCAAGCUUUUGACUUGAUAUUUUAUGCAUAUGAUCAACCAAAAUGAUUUUAGAAAUUUUUCUUCCAAAAACUUCAUGAGUGAGCACAUGAUCAUGCAAAGGAAACUUAUGCCAUGUAAUGAGAUGUUUGGAAAGUACAUGUUAUGAUGAACAAAAUGCAAAAAGAACCACCCAAAUUGGAGCCUUGGUUCAAAAGUUAUGCCCAUUUGGAUUUUCAAGCACCCUUUGCCAUGAUUGGAUCAUAUCUCCUCAACCACACACUAGAAAUUCAUGAUCUUUGACUUUUUUGAAAUGGGAGAGAAAAACCUUCAACUUUCAUGUUGGACAAAAUUUCAUUUGAAGCUUUCUUGAUGAUGUAAAAUUAAGUUGAAGUUGGUUCAAAACCUUUCCAUUUUUGGAAAGUUCAAAUUAUGGGUCACUUGCUAUUUUGGGAAAUUCUUGACCUGACUUCAAAUUCUUCAAUGUGAGUGUUUGAGAUGUCAAAUGAGACUUUUUGGGAAAUUCUUGACCUGACUUCAAAUUCUUCAAUGUGAGUGUUUGAGAUGUCAAAUGAGACUUGUUUGAACAUGAAUGAAGCAUCUCUAAUCACUUCCCACCUCCAAAUCCACAGUUGACUUUGUAGUUGACUUCUGUUGACCUUUAUGGGCCUCAGAUGAAUUGCACAUGCACUGAUGAGUUCUGAGCCUUCAACACUUGGCCAAAUUGCUUCAAAAUGAUCCUUGGGUAAUGGAAGCUCAUUGGAACCACCCUAGGGCUUUCAUCUCAUGGAAAAUGCUCUUGUUGCCUUGCACAGUUGAAUCUCCUGACCAGACUUGACUGAUGAGAUGUAAUGGACUAUGCAAUGUUAAUGACCUAAAAAUGAAAUGUAUAUACAAAUAGGGGGUGCAAAUUUGAGGUGCUACAGCUGCCCCUAUUCAAUCAACUGGGAACCUGAACGGAUGAGAGCAAUGACUGUCAGACCUUCAAGUUACACAGGGAUUGAAUACCAAAGAACCAUAGAAAUUUGCACUCUGCAGGGAUCCAAGAACAGACUGUCCACCAAGGACAACUUCCACUGGGAUCUGAUAUUUAUCAAUGGACCAGACAAGACGUCUACCAACGAAUCCACUAGGGAUUUUGAUUUUUUUCAGAAAAAGGAACUACAAUCAUACAUCAACAGGUGAUGAAUAGGAGAAAGAGGUACAACCAGACGUCAACGGACGAAUGGGGAAAACUCAACGUUUAUCGAUACCAACGGAGAGGUGACUAGACAUUAACGAAUGACUGGGAGAAAGGAUACAACCAUACGUCAACGGACGAAUGGGAAAAACUCGACGUUUAUCGACACCAACAGAGAGGUGACCAGACAUUAAUGAAUGACUGGGAGAAAGGAUACAACCAUACGUCAAUGGACGAAUGGGAAAAACUCGACGUUUAUCGACACCAACGGAGAAGUGACCAGACAUUAACGAAUGACUGGGAGAAAGGAUACAACCAUACGUCAACGGACGAAUGGGAAAAACUCAACGUUUAUCGAUACCAACGGAGAGGUGACCAGACAUUAACGAAUGACUGGGAGAAAGGAUACAACCAUACGUCAACAGACGAAUGGGAAAAACUCAACGUUUAUCGAUACCAAUGGAGAGGUGACCAGACAUCAACGGAUGAACUGGGAAGACUCGACCAGACAUCAACGGACGAACGGGAGAAGCUCGACGUUUAUCGACACCAACGAAGAGGUGACCAGACAUCAACGGAUGAACUGGGAAGGGAUAUAAUGUUUACUGACAUCGAAAGAUGAUGCGUACAGAAGUGAAGCAAGACCAGACAUUUACCGAUGACUGGGAGAAAGACUCGAUGUUUACCGACAUCGAAAGAUGAUGUUUACCGACACCAAAAAAAAGACGACCAGACAUUUACCGAUGACUAUGCGUACAGAAGUGAAGCAAGACCAGACAUUUACCGAUGACUGGGAGAAAGACUCGAUGUUUACCGACAUCGAAAGAUGAUGUUUACCGACACCAAAAAAAAGACGACCAGACAUUUACCGAUGACCGGAGUGAGACUCGAUGUUUACCGACACCGAAACAAUGGUGCGUACCGACACCAAAGAAAGGACGAUCAAACAUUUACCGAUGACUAGAGUGCGACUCGAUGUUUACCGACACCGAAACAAUGGUGCGUACUGACACCAAAGAAAGAACACACACGGGUGCUGACAUGACACUUACCGGUAUCACAGGGAUGACAUCUACAUAUGUCAAGGCAAGGCUAAACACUUGCUGGGGAUCUCAUCGGGGAGCUCACUGGGGAUAAUCAACCUUGAAUGUUGUCUGUCAAGAGCAACUGUAGCAAAUAUGUCGUGCAGAUGUUGAACAAUGAUCCGCCUCUAUUGGGGAUAUGGUCUAAUCAGGUUUAACACAUGAAUGCAUAUGUUUGAAUUUUUCUAUGGCGUAAUGCUCCAUAUUGAAUGGAAAUGCUACGCGAUUUGAGGAUGCAAUGUUUACUACAUGCAAGAUGCAAAUGAUGAAAACUCCCGCUGAGGAGCAAACGGAUUGCUAUGAUGAGCACACAAAUUUGAUUAAAUUCUUCGACUCGGUGGGGAGAUGCACUGCUGGGGGUGCUUUGCUGAUCUAAUACUCUGGAGACGGCAGAGGAAACCAAGUCAACUCCGGGGAGACUCUGUCUGAGGAACACGCCAACUUCUCAACCGUGCUGGCGAAUAGCAUUGCUGCUGGAGAAAGGAUAAAUCCCACCGGGGACUAACUCCGGGGAGACUCUGUCUGAGGAACACGCCAACUUCUCAACCGUGCUGGCGAAUAGCAUUGCUGCUGGAGAAAGGAUAAAUCCCACCGGGGACGACUUCCACUGAAUCCAAUCCACUGAGGGACUCCGCUGGGGGAAACAACUAAUGCUUACCUCUACUAGGGAUAACUGCUAAUCCUUGAGCAGGAUAAACUCUACUGGGGAUAAUCUUCACCAAGCAUGAUCCGCUUGGGGACUUCGCUGGGGGAAAACCAUCAACACAAACCUCCACUGAGACAAUUACCCUCUUCAAAAUUGCUGGGGAGAACAUUCACAACCCUGCUGGGGAAAGGCAUUCACGACCAUGCUGAGGAAGGCAGUACUUCAUACCCAGACUUUUGAGGAACAGACUACUCGCUGAUACUUCCGUUAGGGAUACAACCUUCAGACUCAGUGGGGACCAACAGUCUUCUGACUAGCUGGGGACAGACCAACUCUCGGGCCUGUUGGGGAACUAACAAUCCUUAGACCUGCUGGGGAUAGAAUAGCCUUUGAACCUGCUACCCGACUGCUGGGGAAUAACAGUUCUAACAGCUUUCAGACUUGCUCGGGGAAACGACCACUCUCAAGCCUGCUGGGGAAACAUCCUCAACCCUUAGGAACAAUCUACCCACCGACACUUCCACUAGGGAUAUGGCAACCUUCAGGCUCGCUGAGGAGACAUCGAUCUCGAAUCUGCUAUGGAGAUAACACUCCCAUCCACUUGGGAGAUACGGCCUAUUUGACAUGGAACGCCCUUCGAUUCGACGAACACUGGCAUUUACCAUCCAACCAUAGUGUCAACUUCCCACUUUUUAGGACUCCCAGACUCGUCCGGUCUUUUCUGAUCCAUCACCCAGUAUUCUCGUCUUUUCUUUGCUUCGAGACAAUUGAUCUCCUCAGAUCCGGGCUAACUCUUUAAUCUUCAGACUUUGAAGAGUCUUCUUGAUUACCCUCUAGGAUCGUCGUCGCAAUUCUUUCAUCUCUUCACCGUUCUUCUAUCCCUUGCCCCUGAUUGGACUCUACAGGGAUCUCCUGUCAAAAUGUUACCCGUCACAACCUGCAAGUGAAUGAAGAUAUCUAACAGCACCUGCACAAGAGAUCGUUAGAUAAAAGCGUGCCCCAGGCGUGCCAACAUUUCAACACCUAGGUCACUCAAACUUCCGAAUAAGAUUUCCAGUCGUGCCCCAGGCGUGCCAACAUUUCAACACCUAGGUCACUCAAACUUCCGAAUAAGAUUUCCAGAUUUCAAUCUUAUAAGCAUGCACCGGAAGGGACCUCUAUGUUUCAAAAUGCAAAUACUCUUAUAAAAAACAAACGGAUGUUUUCGCAAUCAAAGCGGUCAUGAAAACAAAAAACAAAAUUAUUUGACUGAACAUGCAUUUUAUUAACUAAAAGAGGUGUGGCUCGUAACAGAGCCGCACACCGGAAGCAAUCCCUGGAAAGAGGUGAUCGCGCACGAAAGGAAAAAUCUAUCCUAAUGGCAAUGUGAACACCGUGAUCUCAUCGGGUUCCAACUCGGUUACACCUCCUAUGUCCUCAAGACUUUCCGCACUUUCUGUCUUCUGAAUAAGACGCUUCCGAUCGAUCUCUGUCAGGGAUUAUCCAUGAUGUCUUAACCAAAGUACCAACGAUUAUGCUGGACACAGUUGUUCGUUUCAAUCCCUCUUUUGCCUGGACCGCCCUUUCGGGUUUUCAGUCCACCGGGAUACCCUUUUUUGCCCAAGUCGCCCUUGUGGGGUUUUCGACUUGUAUGCUGGACACAGUUGUUCGUUUCAAUCCCUCUUUUGCCUGGACCGCCCUUUCGGGUUUUCAGUCCACCGGGAUACCCUUUUUUGCCCAAGUCGCCCUUGUGGGGUUUUCGACUUGCCGGGUGUACAUAUUUUUCAUUCUUUUUAUCCCUAACUUUUGCCCGAACCUUUUCUCUUUUUUCUUGGUUCGCCGGGAUGCCCCUUUUUGCCUGGACUAUUUUGUUCUUUUCGUCCAGCGGGUCAAUUUUUAACGAAGUAUUUUUUAACUGCGUCCGCAUUCCCAAAGGAUGGAAAAUCUUCGUCAUCUGUGGUCUUCAACAACAAGGCUCUUCCAAAGAACGCCUUCUUGACCACGAAUGGGAUCCAUAAUUUUGUGUCCACUUGCCCCUACGAUCGUUGAGGAGGAAGGAUCCUUUUCAAUACCAGCUCUCCCACGUGGUACGCACGAGGUCGCACUUUUCGGUCAACAACACGCUUCAUUCACUGGGUACAACUGCUCAUGACAAAUAACCGCCAACCCCCUUUUCCUCAGUCAGACUCAACGCGUCAUACCGAGUCCUUAUCCACUCAGCCUUCUCUAAUUUCCCAUCUAUCAGGACUCUCCACAAUGGGAUCUAGACUUCAGUAGGUAAUACCACUUCUAUCCCAUACACGAGCGAGUGCGGCGUUGCCCCAGUAGACGUACGCACCGAAGAUCUAUACCCAGGAUACAAGCUUCGUACUCGGCCACCAUUGUCGGUGCAUUCAAAUGUUAUCCGGGAAACAAAAGGAAUGUGGGAUCUUUUCGGUGUAACCAAAACGACACUAACUCAUCCACAUUAACCUCCCCCCAUCAGACAUCAGAAUCCGUUCGGAUUCAGGGUCAGGCCCCUCCUCCGAGAUCGGUUCCUCACAAUCUUUCGAUUUGAGCACCUCGAGAUGUCCUCAUCAGGGAACUCAAACUUCCUUGGUUGAUAAUCCUCAAUGGGUUGCGGGGCGAUGUAAUCGGACAAUACGCUCCCCUCGAUUGCUUUCUGAGAGGUAUACUGAAUAUCGUAUUCAGUCAACAUCAUUUGCCCUCUUGCCACCCGUCCGGUCGAUGCUAGCUUCUCAAACACAUACUUGAUCGGAUCCAUCUUGGAAAUCCACAAAGUGGUAUGAACCAGCAUAUACUGUCUCAGUCGGCGAGCAACCUAUGCCAAAGUACAACAAGUUUUCUCGAGCAGUGAAUGUAUUGUUUCACAGUCGGUAAACUCUUUGCUAAGGUAAAUUGCAUGCUCUUUUCAACCAGACUCGUUAUGCCGACACAAUACGCACCUCAUAGACACCUCAAGGGCUGUCAAGUACCAGAUUAACAGUUGUUCCUGCAACUUAUUCUUUUAUCUUUCAACGCCCCUUGGCAAUCAUUAUCCACCUGACCGUUUGCUCCCUUUUUUCUUGAAUGGGUUCCCACGUGGCUAUCAGAUGAGAUAUGAACCGUGAAAUGCAAUUCAAUCUAUCUAAGAAACCACGAACCUUCUUUUGUUUUCGGUUCAGGCAUUUCUUGUAUCGCUUUCCUUUUCUUCUUCUUUUUUUUUUUUAGCAGGAUCAACCUCGAUUCCUCUUAUUCGCUCACAAUGAGCCUCAGCAUUUUACCGAACAACACUCCACAAGUGCACUGAUUCGGACUCAACCUCAGUCUGAGUUGUCUCGAUCCGGUCAAACAACUUGCCCCGGUCUACCGGAUGCCCUUUUCUGUUCGGGACUUUGCUAUCAUGUCAUCAACAUAGCAUUUGAUUCCACGAUGAAUCAUAUCAUGAAACAAAGUCACCAUGGCUCUUUGAUACAUGGCAUCGGCGCUCUGCUUCACUAGAGGACAAUCUUCUCUCAAUGGUAGCUUGUGCACAACGACAUCGGUAUCCGACCCUGGCAUAUCCUGAUACGACCAGGCGAAGGUAUCGACAUGCUCUUUUAAUAGUGCUACCAUUUUGCUCUUUAUAUUAGCCCCUGAAGCGGCCCCCAACUUUCACUUCCUUUCUGACCUCGGCGGUGCCUGGAAUAAUAAUCUUGAAUCACUCCUCGUGCGGUUGAAUCACCUUCUCCUCUUGUUUCAACAACCUGGCUAAUUCCAGCAGAUCACAAUCUUCUUCGCCUUCUUCUUCGGCAUGAUAGAUCGGAUUGUCGAAGUCAUAUAGAGGUGUAACCGAAUUGUUAUCAAUGAGAUCAGGAAGAUAGUCUCUUUUGAGGUCGGAACAAGACAAAUCAAAAGGAAAGAAAAAUGAAAAUAAACAUUGCCAUUUUUAUUUUUUAAACUGCAAAAAUAAAUGAAAGACAGGGAACACCGCUUUUAAUCACAAAAACAUCCAUUUAUUAAUGAUGCAAAAUGUUGCACAAUGAAACACAUGAGAUGGCCCUUACAAUGGACCAUUACGUUUUGGGCAAAACGUAUGGCUUUCAUGCAAACAGAAUUGAAAAACAGAAAUACUACUCUUCAUGAUGAGUGACAAUGAUGAUCUUUGAGGCCUUCCAGUUCCCUGGUACGCACGAUUUUAUCCACGAGUCAAGCUCGCAGUCACUAUCAAUCUCUUCAUCCACUAUACAGGCGUGACCUGGAUCCAGCAUUCUGGCACUGACGAAUGUGAACGAUGGACGACAUCCUCUGUUUUGUCUAGAUGACUCUUGAUUUGGCUGAUAGCCAACCUCGAACAUAUCUACUUUCACCACAAUGUCUAUGAUCUUUCCCCAGCCCAGGGCUUCUCCGUUCUUCACCACUUCCAUGGCCUAUCUGUAAGAAGAAAUGGACAACUUCUUCUCUUUCUCAGCUAGAAUGGCAUCCUCUACCUUGACGGUUUCAACUGCCUGACUUGGUGUUUCAAAUUUUUCAUCGUCCAUUUCUACUUCCAUCAUUCUCUAGAUCGUUUCCCCCCUCAUUACACACCCAUUUGUGGCGACGGCCGCACAACAGUUAUCAACACUAGGGAAUGCUCCACUCUUCAUCAGAUGUUUUGGGACCACAGACACUGAAGUUUUUAACUGAUCCCCCUCAGGCACCUCUAUUUCUCUCUUGUCCUUUGACAUCACCUUCACCCCCACGGGACCUGGCACGGGGUUAGCACUAACAUUCAGUGUCGGUGCCAAACUGAUGGCCUUAGAAUCCACCAUAUCUUGGACAACAUGCUUAAAAGCUCUACAACCCUCAAUGUUAUGUCCUGGUGCCCCAGAAUGGAACUCUCACCUGGCAUUCUCAUCAUAGUUUGCAGGCCUCCGAUGCAGUUCUACAGGAACCAAUAUCCUCGGCCGAACUAACCCAAGAUCCCUCAACCUCUUGAACAAAAGGGUAUAAGUCACGAGUGGCUUAUCAAACUAACGAUCCGUCGUCUCCUUCUUCACUUGGCCCUUAGCUUUCUGUGCUUUCUGUCGAGGUGGCGGUUGUUGCUGUUGUACAGAUGGAUUACCAGCAGGAGUGGUUACAGCGGCAUCAUAAGGGUGGUAACGAUCCUUACCGCGUUCUUUCUUGGCCUGCACACCACCUGAUUCAACCUCCUUCUUGAGCUGACCAUUGCCAGAGGGCUUCUUUACUAUGGAUGACGGAGCCUUUCCCUGAACUUUCUCAUUUAUCAUCCAGCUUUCGAUCCUUUCCACCCUCUCAGCAAUCGCUUUCUGCCCCAAGGCGAGCCCUUGCACGACUUUGAACAACUCUCUCAUCAUCUCUUUCAAUUCGAGAAUGUCGGCGUUGGGUGGAUCCAUCAGUCUGAGAUAUCUGAACGAAAUAGCUAUGCGCACCGGUUAGAUACUGACACCUACAAAACAGCAAACAGGUUAAUAUGACUCACACAUGCAAUGUCUAUCCGUAUGAGGAAUAUUAUAUCCUUCGAUUCUAGCUUCAUUGAGACGGAUAAUAUUUCAUCAACAACAUUCUGACAUCCGGAUGUCUCUCGACCAGAAUCUCGAUCGAAAAUGGACCCUGAGUAUGGAUAGACAUGGGUUAAAUACAGAUGAAUGCGAAAUGGGAAUGAUGCAAAUGCAUGCAGGCAGGUCACUGUGCCAUCUUCCAAGUCAUCUGAGGAUCAACUGUACUGGGCCGGUCUCUGAACUGAUCACAAUCAUCUGAGGGUCCGAGUAACCAUAAAUCCAACUUGGGAAGUUCCGAAAUAAACGGAACCGGGGGAUAUAUCACUAUUAUCACAGGAAAUCUACUGAACGAAUGACAACCAGAUCCUUUGAACAAGUAUCCUCAAAUUCAACCCGGGGAUCCGAAAUAAACGGAACCCGCUGAUAGAUGUCACGGACAGAACUCCGGCGUGUCAGAAGUAAGUACCCAUAAGUUCAUCUGAACCAUAGUCACCCUCUGUACCUGCAAAUGAUUCAAUCCCUCCCCACUCACGGGUGUCAUCUGGGCCAGGGUAAGGUCAAGAGAAACGCAGGAUAAACAACCCUUUCAAGAAUAUCAUCCUGUACACAUCAGAUGUAUGUACCGAUAAUACCCCAUCAGGAUCUAAACUGCUCGUGAUAUCACGUUCCGCUAAGUGGCACAAUACCACCCGCUUCCCAUGAAUCACUAUAUUCCUAGGUGUCCUAAAGUUCACUCAUGGCCUGGGUAUUAGGCCUUUUACCUCUUGUAACUCCCACCCCACAGAGAGAUACACACAGCCAGCACAGAUGAAAAUAUGAUGCAUGCAAACAUAAACAAAUAAAUGCAAUAAAUGAAACAGUAAAAGCAACCAAACCCUAUCCUAAAGAGCGCUAGGAGUGACUCGCUUAGGGAAGAUGGACCAGCAAGAGGUCAACUUCUCUNUUGUUGAGAGAGAUAAACCUGUGAAAGGACAUGGUCUUCGCGACCAGAGAUCGAUAGGAUCGGGACGUCGUAUGCGAAGGGAAUUAUUAGCAGGCCCUACGCAUCCGUCGACUCGACGGACCACGCUCAAAAAGAUAGAAGAAGGUUGCUAAAGAACUGCGUCAACAGCUGCACACACACUGGAAGGAGGACAGCAGAAGACAAAGAAACGGGACUCGGCCAGGAUAUCGCAUCCUGCGGCCUACGUAGUUCUUGUCAGACACAGACAUUAGAGUCGACGUAGUUCGCCGGAAACAGGGGAAACGUGCUCGCUAGAUUCGCAUCCUAUUGCCAUACGUUAUCUUUCUCUGACCGAGAAGGAAUCAGAGCCACUCGUAGCUCGCUAACGCACGCCAAACAAAACCACACGGAAACCGUUUGCAAUCGCUGGACUUACGGUAGAGCUCCACACCAAACAGGGCAACAUGAACCGAAUGCAAUCGCUGGACUUAAUCAGACUCCGAAACAACAAACACACAUAGGAAACCAACUGCCAAUCGCUGGACUUACGUCAGACUCCAACAAGCAAACAAGACACAGGAAACCAACUGCCAAUCGCUGGACUUACGUCAGACUCCAAACACACACAAAGGGGUUGCAAAAGAAAAAGGGCACCCGGAGAGAUCAGCUCAUCUCCUGCCUACGUACCUCAUCUGGUAUGAGGAUCAGGGCGACGUAGUUCCCCUACGCAGGGAAAGAACUUCUAUCCUAACCAGAGACUAGGAAAUGACGAACUAGAAGGGAGCCUGACUCGAGCCUAAUAGUCAUCAUGUAAUCCACAAUGGUCCUAGGUUGAGGUUUCUAUCCUAACUUGCACAGGAAGCAAGCUAUCCUAAACAGCACAAUCAAACAAACAAGCACAGUAAAGCAAUCACACACACUAUAUGCAAGCAAUUGGGUUCAUACAGGGCUAGGCUGCAGAAACAAGCCAACUGGAAUGGGGUGGUUUUAGCUCUUAACCCUAACAUUGAGAGUUAGGGUGAAGCAGAUGAAAUGGAGAUGAGGGGUGUGCCUCAUAGCUCUUAUCCCUGGCCUGGGAGAGCUUGACUCAAAAUAGAAAGUGUGGGAGUUCAGAAUGUAGGAACUCUUCUCCAUAGAUGACUGACACUACAAGAGUUUGGGUUUUUAUUCACAAUGCAUCAACACAUGGUGUGAGCAAGAGGAAUGACACACUGAGUAGCAGGGGAUGGAUUACACAUCCCUUUUAUCUGCCAAUUGCCUCUCAAGAGUUUGGGUUUUUAUUCACAAUGCAUCAACACAUGGUGUGAGCAAGAGGAAUGACACACUGAGUAGCAGGGGAUGGAUUACACAUCCCUUUUAUCUGCCAAUUGCCUCCUAAGAGGUCUUUACAUGCUUGGCACAAAAUUAAACAUUCACAAACAUUGCCUCUUAAGGAGGGCUUCAGACAGGUGCCUACCAAUAACAAUAGGUCUUCCAGACUACAUGAAGUCAAGAGAUCAUACCUCAGUGGUAUGCAAACCACAAGCAAUGCCAAGCAAGUUCAAAUGAACUCAAAUCAACUUAGGUACCUGUGGAAACAUCUAAACCAAUCAGUUCAACUGUACAGACAAACAAUCAACAAUUAAUAACAAGCAGACAGACAAAGCAUCAUCAAACAACAAUGAGCAAGCCACAAGCACAAGUGAAUUGUUCUCAAAGCCUACAAAACACACAAAGGUUAGCACAUGACAACAAUUGACCAAGCUUAAAUGAAGGAGCCACUCCAAUCAUGGAAAUGUACAUUACAAAACACACAAAGGUUAGCACAUGACAACAAUUGACCAAGCUUAAAUGAAGGAGCCACUCCAAUCAUGGAAAUGUACACUUGAACCUGAAAUUCACAACCCAAAUGGUAAGUCCAAACCACUAGGUUAAAGCCUAGGGUCAAAAGAGGAUCAAAAAGUCAAAACAGGGACUGAAAUUUAACACAAAGCAACUUCAAACACAUAUUGACAUAUCCUAAAAAGGCUCACAUCAAAAUCAUUAAUCAAAUGCAUUUCAUGAUCAAGUGAAGUCAAAGGCAAUUUCAAAGUUCAUAUGUAAUCAACAUGAAUGAAAAUUCUCAAUCAAAACAGAAAUGAUUCAAAUAAAUCUGGAAAAAUUCAUGAGCAAUCAAGACAUCCAUAACAUCCAUCACACAAAAAAUCAGAAGUAUUGGAGAUCAUUUGGCAUGGCAAUCACAUUGUACAAGUCAGACAACCAAAUGUGUGACACAAAUUGUCACACCAAGUUAGCACAAGCAUAAAACAGAAAUGGAGCAUGGGAAAAAUGUCAAACCAAAGCCAAAAUGUCCAUCGAUAUGUCUAGAAUCAACAUGCAAAAUUUCAGGUUCAUUGGAUAAGAAACAAGCAUUUUAUGACAAGAUAAGCAAGGCAAGGUCAAAUAUGCAUAUGUGUUCAAACAUCCUAGGGAAAAUUAAUUUUCCAGCAAUGCACAACUUUCCAAUUCAUGCUCAUAAACAACUAGACAGAAUAAGGAGCAUUUUGUAAAAAAUUGGGAUGAAAUUGGAUCAAUUUUCAAUUUGAUAUGAUUUUUCUAAGUUUGGGAAAAAAAUGAAGUUCAAAAAUGGACCAAGGCAUGAAAAUGGGAGGGAAAAGGUGAAAAUCAUGAAGCAUUUGAAAAAAUGCGCUCGCUCAGUAUCGAACCCUUGCCAGAUUCAAAUUUGCGCGCCCAACCUAAAACGAAAUCGUCUCAACUAAAGCCCUAGCGCUGGUAACACGUUCCCAGAAUUUCGUAGCAAAUGUGAAGAUUUCGUAGCUAAUGGAAGAACAUUCGUAGCAAAACCAUAGCAAGUUCUGGAAAACGCAUGAUCUUCAUAGGUUGAAGAUGAAGAUUGCAUGAUGUUCAUAAGCAAAUUCCAGAAAAUCCAAAACAUUCCAGAAAUAAAAAAUAAUUACAUCAAUCUACUCCUCGUUUCAUGCACAUCAAAGAUCCAUAACCAAAUCAUGCAAAAACAUCAUAACAAGUUCUGAUCGAAGGAAAUAAGAUUUGACAUCAAACUUUCAAUCAAGCAUAACUUCAUGAAUAUUGCGCCAUUUCACUCAAAUUUUAUACCAGAAUGAUCACCAAUGAAAGAUCUACACAAAUAUCAUGAUGAAUUGCAAAAUAAGUGAACUCGAAACCUGACCUCUUUGAAGAACAGAAUCUAGAAUCGUGCUCUACAAAGCUCAACAAUGCCUCAAAUAUUCUCUACAAUGCUUAUUGAUGUGAGUGAUGAUGAAUUGGAUGCUCCAGCAUGCACGAACUUAGCUCAAUUUGCAAUCUCCAUUGAAUCUUCAAGCUUCAAGUAUGAGCAAAAUAUGGCACGAAUCCUCUUAAAUCCACGUUCAAACUUGCUCAAGAAUGCUCUAUGAUCAUGAUUCCAUCAAUAGAAAAUGCUUUUGUGUGAAGAAUUGCAAAAUAUUUGAGAGAAAAAUUUGGAUGAUUUUUGAAUCUAGAUCUGAAAAUGGAUGUUCAUCGUGAAAGCAGUUAAGAUUAUCCUUAUAUAUCCCAUGCUAAUCAUUCUGAAAACCAGUUUAAGCCAAAGCUAAUCAAGAUUAACAACUUAUAAGGUGUAUGAGAAAAUUGGUAUUUGCACCUCAUGCCUUUCAUGCAUGCGUGAACAGUAUACAAUACUGAUCCAAAAUCACUUAAACAAGGCCCAUGCAAGCUUUUGACUUGAUAUUUUAUGCAUAUGAUCAACCAAAAUGAUUUUAGAAAUUUUUCUUCCAAAAACUUCAUGAGUGAGCAUAUGAUCAUGCAAAGGAAACUUAUGCCAUGUAAUGAGAUGUUUGGAAAGUACAUGUUAUGAUGAACAAAAUGCAAAAAGAACCACCCAAAUUGGAGCCUUGGUUCAAAAGUUAUGCCCAUUUGAUUUUUCAAGCACCCUUUGCCAUGAUUGGAUCAUAUCUCCUCAACCACACACUAGAAAUUCAUGAUCUUUGACUUUUUGGAAAUGGGAGAGAAAGACCUUCAACUUUCAUGUUGGACAAAAUUUCAUUUGAAGCUUUCUUGAUGAUGUAAAAUUGAGUUGAAGUUGGUUCAAAACCUUUCCAUUUUUGGAAAGUUCAAAUUAUGGGUCACUUGCUAUUUUGGGAAAUUCUUGACCUGACUUCAAAUUCUUCAAUGUGAGUGUUUGAGAUGUCAAAUGAGACUGUUUGACAUGAAUGAAGCAUCUCUAAUCACUUCCACCUCCAAAUCCACAGUUGACUUUGCAGUUGACUUCUGUUGACUUUUAUGGCCUCAGAUGAAUUGCACAUGCACUGAUGAGUUUUGAGCCUUUCAACACUUGGCCAAAUUGCUUCAAAAUGAUCCUUGGGUAAUGGAAGCUCAAUGGAACCACCCUAGGGCUUUCAUCUCAUGGAAAAUGCUUGUUGCCUUGCACAGUUGAAUCUCCUGACCAGACUUGACUGAUGAGAUGUAAUGGACUAUGUAAUGUGAAGGCAAUGUUAAUGACCUAAAAAUGAAAUGUAUAUACAAAUGGGGGGGGGGGGUGAAAAUUUGAGGUGCUACACUGUGCACUUGCAGUCACGAAUCCUAUAGACAUACUAAGUCACGAUCAAUUUUUUGGUGCCGUUGUCGGGGACUAAAUUAGUCGAUAUCGUAACUCUAGUGUUGCACAGUAUAGACUAAGGCAAACAAAACUAUUUCCCUUUUUUAAUUUUUUGAUUGUAUGCCAAGUACUAGCUCUCAAAGCGAGAAACUAAAGCUACCAUUCGACGAACCAAAACAUUAUCUAAGAUUAGAACGUCAGAUACGAGAAUACCGUAUCAAGUACAAUCUUCCCGAUCCUAAUAUCCUUAUUCCCGAACAAGUUAUAGAACCAAAGAUGGUUGAAGGACCACAGAAUCGUCCUCUCGAGUACUAUGCCAUCCCUUCGCAGGAUGAACCACAUAACAACAUGGUUGCCACUAUCAUCGAGGCAAAUAAUUUUGAGCUAAAACCUUCGUUGUUUUCAGCCGUACAGCAAAACCAAUUUUCUGGUAGUCCAACGGAGGACCCGAACCUACAUUUGUCAGUGUUUUUGCAAUACGCAGACACAGUGAAAGCAAAAGGUGUCAGCCCCGAAGCAAUAAGACUACGUCUUUUCCCUUUCUCAUUAAGAGAUAAAGUUAGAGCUUGGCUCUAGUCUUUACCGUCCAACUCUGUCACUACGUGGAACAAGUUGAAGAAAGUUUUCUUAGCACGAUAUAUCCCACCUAGUAAGACAACUGUGCCAAGAGCCCAAAUAAACGGGUUUAAAAAAAAGACAACGAAUCACUUUUCGAAGCAUGGGAGAGAUACAAGGACAUGAUGAGACUUUGUCCACAUCACAGUCUAGAAGAGUGGUUGAUCAUCCAUACCUUUUACAACGGUCUCUUGUACAACACAAGAUUGAUAAUAGACGUCGCCGUGGGUGGCGCACUGAUGGAUAAACCCUACAAUAAGGCUUAUCAACUUAUCAAAAGUAUGGCCCAAAAUCACUACCAGUGGGGAAGUGAAAGAACCUCCGUAGAGAAACCUCUAACGAAAGGCGAUAUGUACGAAAUAAGCAGUCUUGAACAUGUCAAUGCUAAGGUUGAUUCCCUCACUCAAAAGAUAGAAAACCCGACCAUAACACCCGCGGCCACCAUGGUUGCCGUAGCACCGAACUGCGAGAUAUGUGGAGUUCUUGGGCAUGCUGCCCCUGAAUGUCAACUUUUGACAGGAAUCUCCACAAACCAAGUGAAUUAUGCUCAAGGAAACCUUUACUCAAACACCUAUAACCCAGGUUGGAAGAACCAUCCGAACUUUUUGUACAAAAACAACAAUGCAUUAUAUGCACCUAACCAAGCACCUGCUAUACCACCAGGAUAUCAUAAAGCUGUCACAAAUGCUCCAAAUGCUCCUAGGAAGUCAAACCUUGAAAUAAUGAUGGAAAACUUCAUAGCUACCCAAGCCCAAACAAAUAAGGAUUUCCUAAAUCAAAACAUACACACUAGUGAGCAAAUUAAGCAAUUAGCAAACAAAGUAGACGCUUUAGCCACCCAUAACAAAAUGUUAGAAACACAAAUUUCGCAAGUGUCACAACAGCAAGCACCUACUGCUGCCCCUACAGGUACAUUUCCUGGACAGCCACAACCAAACCCUAAAGGUCAUGCAAAUGCUAUUAUACUAUGAAAUGGGACAGAAUUAGACGGACCAACCGAUCCUAGAAUUCAAAAUCCAGCCAUGCACCAAGACCUUGGUAAAAUAACUGAGAAGGAAGACGUAUUAAAGGAAAAUAAAAGCAAAGAGGCCAUAGAUAAAGAAGAACCAUAUGUGUCUCCACCACCGUAUAAACCUCAUAUCCCGUAUCCUCAAAUAUUUGUUAAGUCCAAAAGUGUAGGGCAAUUCAAGAAAUUUGUAGAGCUUUUGAAACAAUUGAAUAUCACAAUACCUUUUACAGAAGCUAUCACUCAAAUGCCCUUAUACGCUAAAUUUCUUAAGAAGAUCUUAUCUAACAAGAAGAAAAUCGAGGAUAACGAAACCGUUACACUUAUUACUGAGUGUAGCGCUAUAAUUCAAAAUAAUAUGCCUCAUAAACUGAAAGACCCAGGGAGUUUCUCCAUACCCUGUGUUAUCGGAAAGUUUGUCAUAGACAAAGCUCUAUGCAACUUAGGAGCCAAUAUUAACUUAAUGCCCUUGUCCAUAGGCGAAAGGCUUAAAAUGGGAGAGUUGAGACCAACUAGGAUGUCCGUACAACUUGUGGACCAUUCUGUUAAAUUUCCCGUAGGUAUGCUAGAGAGCGUUCUAGUGCGCAUAGGUCAAUUCUAUAUUCCUACUGAUUUCAUAAUCAUGGACAUAAAGGAGGAUUCCAAUAUCCCUAUCAUAUUAGGAAGACCAUUCUUAGUUACUGCCGGAGCUAUUGUAGAUGUAAAGAAAGGCAAGCUAACAUUUGAAGUCGAUGAAGAAAAAGUCGAAUUUAUUUUGACGAAAUUCUUAAAGGCACCAGCUAUAAAUGAUACAUGUUAUCUUCUAGAUGUCAUCGACGAAUGUGUAAGAGAAAUGGAGAAUGAACAAACUUCAUACUCCGAAAUACUGAAAAUUCCAAUGCCUCCUACUUUUGAAGAUGAAAAUUGGCGUCAGGAAUACCAAGAUGACAGUCUAAGUGAAUGUCUAGCACUGACACCCAAUCAUAUGCCUUGCCCGAAGAAACCAGCAUUAAAAUUUAAAACACUACCAACAAAUUUAAGGUACGAAUUCCUAGACAUUGAACUCGAGCGACCUGUAAUAGUUAACACAGACUUAGGACAGAUAGAAACCGAGAAACUCCUAUAUGUUUUAAGAAAAUAUCCAAUUGAUUUAGGCUAUAAUAUCUCAGAUCUAAAAGGAAUAAAUCCUUCCAUGUGCAUGCAUCACAUUAUGCUAGAGGAAUACAAUAAGACCUCUAGAGAACAUCAAAGAAGGAUAAAUCUCGUUCUGAGUGAUGUAGUAAAGAGAGAAGUGCAAAAGCUAUUAGAAGCAGGGAUUAGAAGCUAUUAGAAGCAGGGAUUAUAUACCCGAAUAUCGUUCGGACUAUGUAACGUUCCCGCAACAUUCCCGCAACCUUCAAUUUUUGUUGAUUUUAUAGACGACAUCAUGGAAGUAUUUAUGGACGGUUUCUCUAUUUGCGGGCAGAGUUUUGAAGAAUGUUUAUCGAAUCUAGAAAUGGUACUUGAAAGAUGUGUAAAAGUGAAUCUCGUGUUAAAUUGGGAAAAAUGUCAUUUCAUGGUCCGACAAGGAAUCAUACUUGGACACAUAGUGUCUGAUAAGGGGAUUGAAGUUGACAAAUCUAAAAUAGAAGUUAUAGAAAACCUUUAACCUCUAAAAACCGUAAGAGAAAUACGAAGUUUCUUAGGACACACCGAUUUCUACCGACGAUUCAUUAAAGAUUUCUCCAAAAUCACCAAACCACUAACUGACCUAUUAAUGAAAGACGCUGAAUUCAUCUUUGACGACAAAUGCCUAAAAGCAUUUGAACAAUUAAAAACAACUCUCAUCACGACACCUAUCAUGCAACCACCCGAUUGGAGAUUACCGUUUGAAAUCAUGUGCGACGCUAGUGAUUAUGCCGUAGGCGCAGUCUUAGGAAAAAGAAAGGAUAGGAAGCUUCAUGCAAUAUAUUAUGCAAGUAGAACCUUAGAUCAUGCGCAUAUGAACUAUGCCACCAUGGAAAAGGAACUUUUAGCUGUCAGAUUCGCCUUGGAUAAAUUUCAUUCUUACCUGGUAGGAGCAAGAAUAAUUAUCUAUACCGAUCAUGCCGCCAUUAGGUACCUAUUAAGUAAAAAGGACGCCAAACCAAGACUUAUAAGGUGGAUUUUACUCCUACAAGAGUUUUAUUUAGAAAUCAAAGAUAAGUGAGGCACUGAAAAUGUCGUAGUUGAUCACUUGUCGAGGAUGGAAGGUAUUGAAGCUGAACGGGUGCCUAUCAAUGAUGAUUUCCUUUAUGAACGACUCAUAGCCCAGUCGGAAAGUAAUACAGAUGAAUGCUCAUUAACUUAUAAUGAUACCGAAACAAAUGAAGUAGUGGAAGCAAUUUACACUAAAACCACAUUGCCAUGGUAUGCUGACUUCGUCAACUACUUAGCAGUUGGGGUGCUUCCACCAGACUUGACUUACCAACAAAAGAAGAAAUUCUUCCAUGAUCUUAAACAAUAUUAUUGGGAUGAGCCUCUGCUUUUCAAAAGAGGCACCAGUGGUAUCUUCCGUCGAUGUGUCCCCGAAGAUGAAGUAGAAAAUAUAAUUUCUCACUGUCAUUCUUCUCCCUAUGGAGGAAAUGCAAGCACUUCAAAGACUUGCACUAAGAUCUUGUAGGUCGGCCUCUUUUGGCCCACUCUGUGGAAAGAUGUCCACAUCGCAAUCAUAAAUUGCGUCCGGUGCCAACGCACUGGCAACAUCUCUAGACGCGACGAAAUUCCACUUAAAGGCAUUUUGGAAGUAGAAGUCUUUGGCGUGUGGGGAAUUGAUUUCAUAGGACCAUUCUCAUCUUCUUUUGGUAACAAGUACAUACUCGUUGCUAUUGAUUACGUAUCCAAAUGGAUCGAGGUUAUAGCCUCUCCAACAAAUGACGUGCGAGUGGUAAUUAGGAUCUUCAAGCAUAUAAUUUUUUCUAGAUUCGGUGUGCCGAGACUUGUCAUCAGUGACGGUGGCUCCCAUUUCAUUUCAAAGAUCUUUGAAAAGCUUUUACUGAAAUAUGGAGUCUGACACUGCGUAGCAACACCAUAUCACCCGCAAACAAGUGGGCAAGUAGAGGUCUCGAAUAGAGAAAUUAAGCAAAUCUUAGAAAAAACAGUUGUCACCUCUAGGAAAGAUUGGUCUUCAAAGUUACACGAAGCUCUGUGGGUAUAUAGGACAACUCAUAAGACCCCGAUAGGAACCACACCAUUUAAGCUAUUUUAUGGAAAAUCGUGUCAUUUGCUGGUAGAAUUAGAGCAUAAAGCAUAUUGGGUUGUUAAGACCCUUAAUCUCAAUUAUACUGUCGCAGGCGAGAAAAGAAUAUUAGAUAUCCAUGAACUAGAAGAACUUAGAUUAGACGCGUAUGAGAAUGCCCGAAUCUAUAAAGAAAGAACUAAAAAAUGGCAUGACGAUCGUAUAUCGAGGAAAAAGUUUAAUGAGGGUGACGUAGUACUUCUGUUUAAUUCCCGACUUAAACUUUUUCCAGGAAAACUUUGUUCUAGGUGGUCUGGUCCCUUUGAAAUUACCAAAGUUUUUCCAAAUGGAGUGAUAGAGAUAAAGGGCAAAUCUAGUGAACCAUUUAUCGUAAACGGGCAGCGCUUGAAACAUUAUCAUAACAUUGACAACAAAGAUUUUUCCACUAAUCUAAAGCUUGCAGAGCCGCCCACUCAUUCACCGAAUUAAUCUUUAGCUAAAUUUUGUCGAGCUUACGACAGUAAACAAAGCGCUUGGUGGGAGACAACCCACAUCUUAUUUUGAAUUAUUAAUUCUAUCUUCUCAAUUAUUGUUUAUUACUAUUUAUUUCUCAAUUUUUUUAUCUCUUUCAUAAAGUCACCUGAUACUUUUCUUUAUUAUUAACCAUUACUGACUUAGCGCUAUUGUCUACUUAAAUUUAUCUAGCUACUGACUUUCACGAUGCAACAAGUAGACUACAUGGAUGUCGUUUUCAGAGGCAGAGGUCAGAGGAGACGCUUUGAAGCUUUAGCUCAGAGAGAGAUGGCACUAACUAUCUACCACGGUGGACGUACUAUGACUAAGUUAGGUAUCUGAGAUAGUGUUAUGUUCCUUCUUAACCAAAUUGGUUGGGAUAAUUUUGCUAUCAAAAGAAGAUUUAGUUCUUACCGUAGGUUAACCCUAGAAUUCCUGAGCUCCCUUGUUUACUUGCCAAACCAUGGUGUGGAUUCAAUAGAGGCCUUAUCACCUUUAGGAUGUUUGAUAUUGAGUAUCACUAUAAUCAUAAAGAAAUAGCUGAACUCCUAGGAUGCCCAAAUGGCCCUGAUGCCUUUACCGUCACCUAGGAAGAACUACUCACAGACCUUGAACUAAACUACUUUUGGGGAAGCAUUACCGGAAACAACCAUUCUGAGCCAAAUCUCAUGUAUUCUGAGAACAUUCAUAACCCUGCGAUCCGUUAUUUUCAUAAGAUCCUAGAUCACACCCUAUUUGGGAAAGAACAAAACAUAACCUUCGUGUCCAAAGACGAUCUCUUCAUAAUGUAUUGUGCAUCACAAGCCCGUCCUGUUAAUGCCGCUACAUUUAUGAUAGCCAACUUAGAUCGUAUGACACAAGCAACCCAUGGGCCAAUCCUAAUAGGGGGUCUAGUAACCAUGAUCGCCAAUGCUAUUGGACCGAGACAACCACUUAUUGGACUUAACCCUCUAGGUGGAAUAUGACCGAUGCACAUUCAGUUAUAUGUCAACACUAGUAUUAUUAGAAACCUGGGCCCGAAUGUGUUUGAAUUUCUUAUCAACAACCAAGUUGUGCACCUGUUUACCCUACCAAACCAUAAGACUAGUGUACAUGACAUAAACAAUUGGCUCUUUGAUUUGGAUAAACCGCAAGAUGCACCACCCUCUCCUCCAGAGACACCCCAAAUCUAUGACCACUAUGAUGCAUAUCUCUAUGACGCUGACUCAUUUGCCUCUGUUGUACCUGUUGCACAGCCUAUUGAUCAUGUCGCUGUCAUCAAUGUUGUCCAGACUGACAUUGCUAACCUAAGAGACGAAUUAAGCACUUUGCGCAUGGACCUCCACGGAUUUAUGGAUGUAGUGACAGAGAAUUUGGAUCACAUUUAUCAACAUUUUUACUCUUUCGCUCCUCUUGUCGGCGGUCGCCGUAAUGGCUAAUAUAUCUGAAUUUUACUGCAUGUCUGACAUUAAUUUUAGAUUUUUCCAUGUUAGGAUUUUCUUUUUCUUUUUACAAUUUAGGAUUUUUUAAUUGUUUCAAUUUUAUCUAGCAAACUUAUUCAACUAUGUAAUUCAUUUCUAUUUAUCUCAUUUUUUUUCGAUUUCAUGUUUUAAUUUAAUUCUACCAUACCCUAUUUAAUUUUCACUUUUAUGUUUUUUUUUGCCUUUCUUUCACCUAACUAUUCAACAACUACCAAAAUAUGGUCCAAUGAAUUUACAUGCAAGACUGUGGUCAAACGAAACUACAUGGUUAAGCACAUUAACACAACAUGUGGCGCCUACCACACCCACAACUAGUGGCGCCUGCCACACGUACCAUUGUGGCGCCCGACACACCCACCAAAUGUGGCGCCUGCGACACAUUUCACCAUGUAAGCAGUCUGCCACUAACACCAUCACGUAAUACAAGCCUGCCCCAUUAAUCUUUGUCCCUUGCAUGCCAAACAAGUUUUUAAUUUUUUUAAUCACCUUUAAUCUCCUUUGACCACUACAUUUAUCACUAUUCAUUAAAAUUUAUUCCAUUUAAAACUUUCCAAUUACCAUUUAACUCUAUAUAAACUUUUGCAACAUAACCCCACAAAACACAUCUCAAUCUCACGUUGCAUAAACAAAUUUCUACUUCUUCUUACUACUCGAGUUGUGUAAAUUUUGGUCAUGACACAAAGGCACGGAUAUGAAAUAUUUUUCAGAGCAGGCGAACUAGGUGAAUUGCAGGAAGAAAUCUACAAGGCUCUAAGCACAAGAGAAAUAGAGUCAACAAGGUACACUGAUGAACCUUAUUUAAUAGCCUUAGGAAUUCUUGAUAGUGUUAAUCAUAUGCUUAAUACUUUAAGUCUAAAUUAUUUCUUAUCUUUUAAAGACCUGGUCUAUGUCCAACUAACGCUAGAAUUCCUUAGUACGCUUAUUUUUAGCCCCACCCCCAACACAGGCUGUUCCAAUGGGAUUGUUCAAUUUCGCCUGUUCAAUAUAUAGUACGCUUUUAAUUUUUCCCAACUAGCGGACCUGCUACGAUUCCCCCACGGGGAUGACUUAGUAUGUGAGGUCCCGGAUACUGAUGGUUGGCAGCAUGUUUUUCAACCAUUCUGGAGGGUAAUAACAGAUACGGUAACACACAGGUUUAAGGGAAAUAAAUCCACUUUAAUUCACAAUCCAGCCAUACGUUAUUUCCGCCAACUAUUGUCUUGCACUAUUUUUUGCCGAUCCAAUUCUAACAAGGUGAACGAGAAAGAAUUUUUCUAUCUGUUCGCCACAUUUGUGCCACAAAAGGUCAAUACCGUCCCAUUCAUAUUUUCUCACACGCGGGCCAUAGUCAACGCGAGAAGAGAACCAAUUAUUUUUGGCGGUUUAAUAACCUCAAUAGCUUGAGUCCUAGGACUCGAAUAAAAAUUCUCCUACCUAACACCGCUCUCGUCCCGUGCCAUUGAUACUGACAUGACUAGAAGCAUGAAAUUGGUAAAAUGAAGGCAAGACGGUAAAUUUCACCUAAUGGUUGCCAAUAGUGUUUUCCCGAAUUUCAUUCUCCCCAACCCAAAUCGCACAGAUGUGCGUAAUCCGGAUAACUAUUGUUAUAUUCAUAAUCCGGUGCCUAACCCAGUCCCCGCGCACAUUCCUGAGAAUGUAGUUGCUGGCGAGAACAUUGAUGAGGAUUAUGACCAGGAGCAGGACGCUCUUGCUACUGACACACACCAUACACCACACACGUUUCUUCUAAAAAUGUUGCAGGUACAUCAUCCAGGCAUAAGCCCAGAAGAAGAAAUGUGGCACCUGCCAUUAUUGAUGACAUCUAUGCUGAACUGAUGCGACAUAGCGAAUUAGACGCUCAACGCGACCAACAGGUUCAAAACAUGGAAGCUCAGCAAAUCAAGAUGAUGCAAAUCCUUCUCCAGAUGCAGCAUGACCAUCAUGAUUAUGCUUUUAGGAAUUAACAUAGCAUGUCAGGUUUGAUCGAUGAGAUGACAACUUUAACAGUGCAUGUGGAAGAUCUACAAGACCAUGCCUCUUAUGUGGGUACGCCACCUCACCAGCCUGGAAAUGGUAGACGUGGAAGAACAUGUGGUAGAGGCCACCUGUAACAACUUUUCCAAGUUCUACCUUCCUUUCUUAUCUUAUGUCGUUGCAUUAGGGACAAUGCUCGAUUUAAGUAUGGGGGAGGAAGCUUUACCGCUUUUAUUUAUCGCAUUCUAGGUAAAUUUAACUAUUUUUAUUUCCUUUGUUAAAUUGUUAAAUGUUAGUUGAGUCAAAUAUCAUUGCACUGUCGAGUCUUUAUACGUGGUUUCCGUUAUUUACUGAUUCUCCCAUUUUCUUAAGCCAUACCAAACUUUUGCAAAAAUCUUGACUUAGAAAUACAAUACAUCUUUUGAAAAUUCUAAGUUAUAAAUAAAACUUAGGUUGGAUUGUAGAGAUUUGGAAAAACUUUACAAGAUUGGUACCGUUUUAACACCUUGAAUCUCCCAAGUAUAAGAUCGAUUUGAGUACUUGUCAUGCCAUAUCCUUGAAUUCUAUCCUUUAAUAUUCCUUAAGUAGUUUAUCUAGCAGUCAACAGCAUCCUAAACACACAUUAUACAAGAAGUCGAUGCAAAUAAGUGUAUGAUCUCAGGCUUAAAAGAGAAAAAGAUUGACCAAAUAAAUGAAAAGUGUUGUUCCUUCUAAGUUAGGUUACCCUCACCCGGCCAUUUAACCCAACGACACAACCAUUUUUGGUUGUUAUUUGAGUCAAAGUGCGAGAAAAAGAAUAAAAUAAAAUAAUAAUGAGAUCGUAGUCACUAACAAAUUAUCUUGCCAUGAGUGUGAAAGGAUAAUGGGCUUAAUGUGAUUGCACUAAAAUGAAAAAAAGGAUAAAAAGAAGGGUUAGUAAGGCAGACUCAGGCAUGAUAACAUGAUUAGGAUUGGUUUGUAUAAGAGGGAGACUUAUGACUGUAUGAUUGCGAGUCUGUGUUCCAACGAUACCCUUAAUGUAGAAGUUAGUACCUAUUGAUGCAAUUUCUAACUGAAGUAGAGUUUGUAGCCUAGAAUGAGUAUCUGAAUGCAAAUGUGUUUUUUUUCACGAGUCUUGAUACUAUAUGCUGCAAAAUUUUAUAAAGCUCUUUUAUUCAUAUGUGCGGCAUUUGCUUGAGGGCAAGCAAAGGUUUAAGUAUGAGGGAGUUUGAUAACGCGAAAAUAUAUCGUAUAUUUGACUUGACUUGAAUUUCUUUUUACUUAUUUUCCAUAGCAUUAUAUUGUACUUUGUGUUUAUUUCAGGUAUUUAUCGAAUAAGAAGUAUAUAUGCAAGCAAAGUAGGAAAAGAGCAAAAAGAAAAGAAAAAGGGAAGAAAAUGAAGAAAAUGGUAAUAGGUGGCGUCCACCACCACAUGGUAAGGGUGGCGCCUAUCACUAAAUAAAAAGGAUGGUGCCCACCACAAGCACAAGGUGAAGCCCACCACAAGCAUAGGUGUGGCGUCCACCACUAAGCAAGAGUGGCGCCCGUCACCAAGCAAGGUGUGGCGCCCACUACCUAGGGUUGUGGCACCCACCACCAAACCACUUCCUCCUUAUUUUUCUCCACGCCCGUUUUUCUCGGUCAACCAACCGCGUCCACUACGAGAUCUUCAAGGCUACUUUCAAGGCAAGGAUUGAGGAGUAUAUAUCAGGGUUUCGGUCUUCAAAGACCAGACCGUCUCUUUUAGCCAGAAUUUUUAUUGUUAGCAUUUUAAGUAGAUAUUUACUUGUAAAGUGAUAGAUUCUCCACAUCGGGGGACUAUUACGACUUUAAUUUUAGCAAUUGAAUUUGAUUGUAACGGUGUACCCGAUUUGCAAAGCGUGCCGACAUUAUUUCAAUUCAAGAACCAACAUUAAUUCCAGUUUUUUGAUUUAUAUUUCAGGUUCUAUUUUAAUUGAUAUUUUACUUACUUAUGCUUUGUCUUAUGUUUAAUUAUCAUAAUAUCAUGUUUGUUCUCGGAUCCAUGUCUAUCUAAACCAAUCGAUAUCGGUAUGUAAAGACCGUCAAAAUGACGGGAUUCGUUAAUAAUUGGUGUUGACUUUUAUAAAAUAUUUUUCUGGUUAUAGUUUCUUGUUUUAAAUUUAAACUGUUUUCGUACGAGAGUACAAAGCAAACAAGGGUUAUGGUCAAUAAAACGAGAGUUUGAGGUUUUAACUGGAUAGCUGAAACUAGGCAUUAAUUCUAAAUACAACGAGAGCGCUUUAGGAUUAAUUAGAAUUUAUUGAUUUCCAAAAAUUACUUUUAAUUCAAAUGAGACAGCGAGAAUGAAGCAUUCUGGUUUAAGAGUAUAGUCAGAGUCAACAACACGAGAGUGUGAGAUAAAGUCUUUUAAAUAAAUAAUUUAUACUAAAGAGUAUUUUGACAUUUAAGAUUACACCAAUUAUUCGUCGAAUCCCCGAAGUUUGAUUUGUUACAUACCGAUAUCCCGCUAUUAAAUACUUUUAUUAAAAUUCAGUUUUUGUUAGUAGUUAUUUCUCAUUGUCCCUCAACCCCUAGAGAAAUCACCAACCUUAGAUUUACGUAGUAACAUUAGAUAACGUUAAGUUCGAUUAUUAGUCCUUUGGGUUCGAUAAUCUUUAAAAAUACACGAUACGACUGUGCACUUGUAGUCACGAAUCCUAUAGACAUACUAAGUCGCGAUCAAUUUUCACCAUUGUUGGGUUUUGAGGGUUUUGGGAUCAUGAUAAAAUUGGAAAUAAUUGAUGAUUAUACUUGCUAAUUUAUAAAUAUAAGUUGUGUGACGUUAAUAUACUGAUUCUCUAUUGUUUUCUGUUCGAUUUGAGUACAUGGAAUCGAAAAUUAGAGUUCUGAUGUGAACUCCAUAACAUAAAACGUAAUUUUGCAUCCUGCCGGUCAAUGGCGGGCGCCAUGGUCAUCGCAGGUAACUUGUCAUGAGCCUUAAGUAGGCAUAAAUACGAUUUUAGUCAUAACUUGAGUUUUGGAACUCGGAUUAAGGCGCGAUUUGAAGAGUUGGAAAGAUAACACACAAAGUUACAUUAUGGUAAUGCCUUAUGAGAUGAAUUAUCAAGAUUGAAUGAUGUGUGAGUAUAUGUUGUGUUGAAUGAUUAUAAGUUGUGAUAAAUAUAUGUUGUUGUGAGAGUAUGAUGAUUGAUGGUUUAUGCAUAAUAUUGAGAUGAAUAAUCGUCAUGUUGAUUGUGUUAAAUGGGUGAAUUAACAUGUAGUAAUUGAUGUAUGAUCUACUUGGUUAAUUUUCUGAGAUACUUAGGAUGUUAGAGUCAUUAAUUGGAGUUCUGCAUUGAACUCCAUUCGAAAAGACAAAUUAUGCUAUAUGCAUGUCGAUGGCGGGCGCUGAUGCGUUGUUAAACUUGGUGUUCGCAAGUGUACGAACGCGUCAGAGUAAUAUAAAAGAUUAUCGAACCACAGAGACCAAGUGCCAAUCUAUCGUUAUCUGUUGUUAUGGUGUUUAUCAAAGGCAGUCAAAAUAGGUGUUUUUGUAGUGUGCAAUGAAAAGUAAAGUAUUGAAAAUAGAAUAUAAUUUAUAAAGACAGGGUCGAAUGUAAUUCACGUAAUCAGUUGCUAAUCCAAGUACUUGCUAAUAGAACUACUUUAAUGGGCAAUGUUUCCUACUUCUGAAAAGAACUAAUUUAACGGAAUUGUCGCUUUCCGCGUAUUCAGAACCAAGUUGUACUCCCUAAUCAAACCCUCUUAUUGUCACUUUAAAAAGGCGCGCAUUGCGUUAGAGUAGUAAACCUAUUUUUAAGAAAUAUAGUAUCUUAACUAAGUUGAAAAGUAUUAAACCUGGAUUUCUUACACAAAAGAGGUUCUUACGAACCAGACUCUAAACUUAUAAACGCGUCCGAAAAUGAUUUUUAAAAUCUCUUUUCUCCUUGAUGUUAAAAACUCCUAAUGAACUAGACAAAGCGCUUUCGCGUUUUUUGAAAUAGUUAAAACAAUUAAGUUUAUAAAGAUGUUGGACGGCUUCAAUCUUACCCAACGGAAUUGAAGUGCGGAAAACUUAAGUUGAAAGUUAAAUAGCCCUUAAGUGUUUUCUACGAACAAUUGUACGGAUUAUCGGUUUAAUUACGAUCCUUACAUUCUAACCUUUUAGAUUUAGUUAGACAUGGUAAAGUAAAAGUGCAUUAAAGUAAAUAAAAGUAGUGCGAGUGCGAGAAUUAAAUAAUUUAAGCGAGUGCGAGGAAAUAAAUAAUUUAAAGCGAGUGCGAGGAAAUAAAUAAGUAAGGCGAGUGCGGGAAUAAAUAAAGUAAAGGCGAGUGCGGAAAUAAAAUAAAGUAAAGGCGAGUGCGGGAAAUAAAUAAAGUAAAGGCGAGUGCGGGAAAAAUAAUUUAAAGCGAGUGCGGGAAAUAAAUAAAGUAAAGGCGAGUAAUGAAAACCUGCUCCAAUCGGAGGGCUGAGUAAAUUGCAUGUGGAAAGAGAAAUGGCGCAGGAUUUAACUUCCUUCCAAGUGCUCCAAACUCGAUUACAGACUCUAUCACAGCUUGAUGACACAAUUGUGGUAACACUCCAAUGCGAAGCGACUACCACUAUAAAAUACUGAAUAUAUGCCUAAGUGAAACAAAUUUGCUUCUGAGUUUGCUCUGUUCUAAGUUUGGAUGGUUGUAAAAUGAAUUCGCGUUUCUAUUUAUAGGAAAAUAAAAAGGUGGAAUUGACUUGGAUGCCCUUCAACUUGAAAUAGAGGAAACCGUUUCCUUCUGUGGCGCCCGCCACAAGGCUAUGGGCGCCGCCACAAGGCUAUGGCCCGCGCACAAGCACAAAGUGGGGCGCCUUAGUGGAUGAAGUGGGGAAACGUGGAGUUGAGGAAGUUGGACUUGGACACGUCAUGGCUUGGUCUGUGGCGCCCGCCAUGAGGUAAGCCAUAAGCACCAAAAUGCUGGAAUUUUAGGGUUUUUAGCCCUUUUUCGCUCCUUUUCUCGAUCGGGGCUCCGAUUAAAGUAAAAACCUGAAAACAAAGGAAAACACAGUAAUAACACAACAAAAUGACAAUAAAAUAACUAGAAUGCAUGUGAAAUCGGAGUCGAAAAUACGUAAAUUUUAGUGUGAUCAGGCGCCAUCAUCAUGGCGACCAGGUCGCCAUGGAUUUAGAGUCGAUGACGGGUGACAUCACUAUGGCGGAUUACUCACCAUGCACCCAGAAUGGGCGGGCGUAGUGAGCCCUGGUGCAUGGAAUUGAGUCCCAAUUUCAAUUGUUUAUGUUGUAUGAUGAAUCGAGGUGUUGUUGGGUACUGUUUGGUGUCUAUGAUUAAUUAUUGGCAGUGCUUGAUUAAUUUUAACAUGAUUAAAUGAUGAACUAUGUCAUCUAGUGCAAAUGGUGAAUGUUAUGACAAUAUUUGUUGUGAUGAACUAUUGUUGUGUGUUGAUAUAUUGCAUAUCAUGAUUUAUGUUGUUGGUAUUAUUGGUGUUGUGCACGGUCAGAAGAGGGGCCAUGUAUGCAUGUGUUUAAGUGCAUAUUGGUGAGUCAUGUAUUCAUGGUGUACGAACUUUGGUCCAGUUUUGGUGUGUUAUGGUCCGAUGUUAUGGAUCGGGAGCGAGUAACCGGUUUUGGUGGGAAUCGGUGAAGCUUUGCCUAUAGUGAUGGUAACGAACUUUGGUGUGCUCUAGCCCGGUGCUAUGGAUCCAGAGCGAGUAGUCAGUUCCGGUGGUAAUUGGUGAAGCAUUACCUACGGUGAUGGUAAUAAAUUUUGGUGUGCUCUGAUCAUAUGGUGGGGAUUGGGAACGAGUAUCUAAUUUUGGUGGGAACAUGUGAAGCAUUACCUAUGGUGAUGGUAGUAAUUUUGGUGUGCUCUAGUUCUAGAGAGGGAAUCGGGAGCGAGAUGAACCUGAGUGUUCAUAUUGUUAUCACGUGCAAUGUUGAGUCAGUUGUUGAGUAUAGUUACAUCAGUGUUGCAUUUAUGAAUGAUCAUCUGGUUAGGUGUUAUAUGAAUGAGAAUACCUGAUGUGUGGAUGUUGGUGUGAUUAGCAUGUGUACUUGUUGGUAUAAUUUGCAUAGUUGUAUAUGUAAUUAUGAUUGUGUAAUGUAUUGUUUUGGGUGUGAGAAUAUUGUUGUAAAGUGUUGUGGUGGGAGAAUGAUUAAAUGUGUAGAUGUUUGUAAUUCCACCUUGAAAUUUAUGUCGUUGAUAUUAUUGAUGUGAAUUCUCAUCCCCUUUGCUUUGAUGUUGUCCACCAUGAACAUCUUGCAGAUACUCAGGAGUAGAGUUACUGUUGUGGGUGGGAAGUAACUCUUUGAGUUAUUCUCUUUAGCUAUCACUUUUAUUUUUAGUUGUCAUGCUCUGAUUCAGUAACACUGGGGGCGAACAAUGUUUUCUUUUAUUAUGUUGGAUGUUGAAUUACAUGUGUUAUUGAGAUUUAAUAAUUGUUAUGGAGUCAUUUUAAAGUUAACAUGUUUUAUUACCAUGAUUUAUAUGACUCCGUUGUGAUGAUACCCUAAGUGAAAGUGAGCAUGCGAUGACAAGUAUAUUUUAAUGUUCUACCUUAAAUGAUAUGUGUUAUGGAAUAAGUGUUGUUUUAUGAUGACUGGCAUCCUAAACGUGCGUAUUAUGAUCAAUACUUGAAUUAUUUUAUAAUUUAUCGCAUGGGGAGUUUAGGGUGUUACAAUACUAAUCAUGCAUGUUCACCCCCGUAUCACCGUAAAAGAGACCAGAGACCAUACAAGAUAGUUAUCGUCAAUCUUUUAUCAUUUCUGAUUCCUGUGAAAGUUAUAACAUCCAUUUCUGGUUUUCGAACUAGAAUAACUUUGAAUUUUGAUUUUAUAAAAUUUAAGUUGUAUGAACAAUGUAUGUACAAUAAUGCUAUUUAAUUUCGUUAUUAGUUUUUUAUUUUAUAAAGUAAUAUAUGAAGAUUCAGAAACAAAUAAACACAUUUUUUAAUGAAAAGGUUAUGAUUUCUAGGGAAGUGACGAUGAUCAAUAAUCAUCUCUGAUCGAAUUUGGGGGUGGUAUAUGGAGGUGGGGACGAGACUGAUUAUUAUCGAUCAACCUCGCCUCGUUAUCAUACCUAACUAAGAUCUUUAAAUAAACUAAUUCAGAUGAUUCUGAUGAAUUAGUCAAAUACAAAUGUUACUAAGAAUUAAUUAUGACAACAAAAUUCAAAACCACCCCUACCCACAAAAAACCACCCAAAUUUUGGUGGAGAAACCCUGCUUUGACAAGAGAUGGGGAUGAGUUUUCCUAGAUAUCCAUAUAUUAAGGAAAGGUAAAAGUGAGACAGGGGAUGUUUAUAUCAGUCCCUCAUUAGGCAUAACAACAUAACUAGUAUUCGUGGGAACUCAUCCGAACCCGUCCCAAAUUUUACGAGAAAAUCCUGCUUUGAUUGAGUUUGUAUUCGAGUUUGUGUUUUUCACGAUUACAAAGUAUGGAGACGAGUCGGAUAAUGGGGAUAUUAGUAUCCACCACGAGCUCUCCCCGUUUAUUUUACUAUAUUUUAUUAUUUAGUUUUGAUAAUUUAAAAUAUUAAAUAUGUAGUAAAUGUUUUGAUAUUUUGAUUUGUAUUUAUUAUUUAAAAUAUUUGAAAUGUAUGUAUGAGAUUGUUUUAUUUUAUUAUAUGUAAAGUAUGAAAAAAUGAAUAUUUUUAAUAAAAGAAUUGAUUCAAUUUAGUGGAUGGUGGCGGAGCGAAAUACUUGAAUCCAACACAAAUUCGUUUGGAAUAAAUUUGAGUAUGUAUUAAUUUUACCCUUAUUUAAAUAAAAAAUAUAUUUUCAUGGUAUUUUAUUUUAUUAUUGUUUAAUAUUGAUACGUUUUUAUAUUAAUUAUAAUAAAUAUAAUAUUUUAAUUUUAUUAUUUUAUAUAUGUGGCGGAGAUAGGUGUGAGGUGACAAAAACCGACAACCAUUAAGAGUAGCGUAGCGGAUUAAAAUUUUAACAUGCUUGACCGAGAAAACCAUUGCUACAUCUACUAGAAAUUAAAUCACAAAUUAUAAAUAUUCACAAUUUACAACACAAUUUCAAAUUUUAAUAAAUUUUAAUUGAAAGAAUUCAAUCAUUAAUUAUAUAAUUGAGCAAGUAAUUCAAUUUUGAAUAAAAAAUAUAUAGUUGGAUAUUAAAUAUAAACAAAACUAACUUUUUUUAUUCUAUUUAAUAAUAUGAUUCCUAAAUAUUUUUUUUAAAUAAAUUUUAGACCUUCAAAAAAUACUCCCUCUGUCUAAAAGAAAUGUAUACAUUUAAAAAAUAAUAUUAUACUAAUAUAGUAGUAUAUAUAUAUAUAUAUAUAUAUAUAUUUUGUCUAUCAACUAUUAAUUAAUAUCAAUUACUAUAAAUACAUUAUAAAAUUUAAUAACUAAAAAUAGAGCAGAUAAUAUUAAUUAUUAUUUUCAUAAAUAAUAAUAAUAAUAAUAAUAAUAAUAAUAAUAAUAAUAAUAAUAAUAAUAAUCAUAAUAAUAAUAAUAAUAAUAAUAAUAAUAAUAAUAAUAAUAAUAAUAAUAAAACACCUCACAUGAUAGCGAAAAGUCACAAACUACACAUCUCUUACUUAAAACAAAAAAUGUCUAUAUCAAAACUCUUUGCUGUUAGUAUUUCAUAAUUGUAGAUACAUGUUUUUAUAUGUUUAUUAAGUACUUAUUUUGCAUUUAAUAAUAUCAUUCACAUGCUUUCAAGAAAAAAGUCAACAUCUCAUACAAAUUUUCUUGAUUAAUGCUACAAAUUUAUAAUGGAGAAAUAUGACACUAUUAUAUGCACAUACAUAUACACAACAAACACAUAUAUAUUGAUUAUAGAAUCAAAAUACAAACAUAGGUAAAAAAAAUAUUAAUUACUGAUUUAUAGAUGAAGUGAAGUAUCAACAUCUGAGGCAUCAAAAUUUCUUGAUGUUGAUGCUGAUGCACCUCGUGACCAUUCACUCAAAGAAGUGUUUGAUUUCAUCUUGUUCUUAUCACCUUGCUUGUUUGCCAAAUUGAGUCCAAGAGAAAGAGAAACAUGGUCAUGACUUGACCUAACCAUAAACCUUUGUUGUGUGUUUGUGUUGGUCUCUGAUGAUGACAACAACCUAAGAAGCUGUUUCUCUUCUCUUCUCUCUUUCACUUUCUCCAAUUGUCUAAACCUUUCUUGAAGAAGAGCAAUGGAAGAGUUCUUCACCAUGGUUGAAUUUGAAUUUGGAUGAUUAUCUUGCCUACCCAUUUGGAAGUAGUGACUAAAGUUUCAAUCUUUGAGAAAUUUGAGGAGAAGGGAACAUUAUAUUUUUGGUGGGUUUGGAAUGUUGUGUUUUGGAACAUUGUAUUAUGAAGAUCAUCAUUUGUAGCUGUUGAGCAUUAUUUUUUAGUAUUUUGGGACCUUCUAAUUGAUUCUUGAUGAAAGCAACAUAGAUUAGAAUCAAGUGAUGUUUGACAAAAGGACAAAGGGAAAGUUGUUGAGGUUAGUAUAGAGGAAGGAAGGGUAGGAUAUAUGUGUGGACAAAAGGACUUUUUGAAGGAGGAAAAGGGUGAGAAGUAGAGGACAAAAUGAUGAUGAAGAAAGUAAUUGGAAGAGAGUAUUUUGGAGAAUAAAUGGUUAGGUAAUUGCUUAUUUGUGCUUUGUCACUUUUAAGUCAUUAUUUUGCUUAGGAUGAGAUAGUAUAUAUUUGUUUUGGUCUUGAUGGUAUGUUGCUUCUUUUUUUUGUUUGUUAAGUUUUUAACUAUUGAAUGUGUUGUUUAUUGCCAAUCAUGUGCACCGCCAGAUCUACAAAUCUAGUUUUGAAAAUUUGAAAAAAAUAAAAAUACAAAAUAUACAUGAUUGCCUUUGAUUUGUUAAAAAAAAAUUGUAGGGGCAAAAUAGAUAGUUAGAGAGUAGAAGCACAAAAAUCUGAAUUUUAUUUGUUAAGAUAAUUUAACUAAUGACUUUGCGGAAAUAUGAGAUAAGAGUGCAGAUUCGAAAUAUCAUAUUCUACUUAUUUAUUUUUAAAUGGUAAAUUUUAGUCAUUAAAUUAUUUUUCAAAAUAAUACUAUUUUUUUUAAAUUACUUAAAAACAUUUCAUCUUUCUAUCUGCAUGUCUAUCUUUCCAUUAAAAAAUUUCUUGUUGUCAUUUUUUUAAAAAUUUUAAAUGUGUCGUUAAUGUUAUGGAGCUUGGAUGGAAGAGACAAAAGGAAUUGGCGAGGAAUAAUUUUGGAAUUUGCUAUCAAUCAUUAAUAAGUCAUUAGUGUCAAUCAAAGAAAAGAAAGAGAAAGAACUCAAUGUGUGACUAUAUGAUUUGUGCAAUUAUAUUCUUUAUCUAGACCAACUAUAUAUCUUUAAAAUGGAAAAGACACUCUAUUUGUGGCUAUCACUUUCUUUUAAUUUAUGAAACUAAAUUUUGGAGAAGGUCGAACUUAGGCGCUUGCCACCUAUGCCACAACAAUUUUGUUAAUAAAAUUUGUCAAACAUAAAUAUACGUUAUGUUCUUUUUGGAACAAUAGAAUGUCGAAACUUAAUGAAAAGAUAUUACAUAGAAAUCAAUUUAGAAGAAUAGACUCUAAUACAAUCAACUAAUAAAAAGGAGAGAUUUUAACAAAAACUUGCUUAUAAAACAUCAAAAUAGGAUUUAGAUCACAUUCCAUGUUGAGAAGUGUAUAUGUGAAAGAAUUUGACUCACGGUAAAUAUGAAAAAUCCACACCCUCCAAUCUAGCUUGACAAAUUAUUAAUUUUGUUGUGCCAACCACAUUCUAAUUAUACUAUCCUGUCCAUGAUGCAAAAUAUUUUGAACAACUUCUUUGGAAUCUAUAUAUAGCGCAAUAGCUCGAACUCAAACUCUUUUGUUAAUCUUAGUCCUUCUAGCACAUCCAAAAGUUCAACAAUAUAUAUGCACUACAAGAAUCUAAAUAUCUUACAAAACCUUCAAGUCACUCACCCGUACAACCUCUUAAAUAACCACCACAUUCAACUUUCAAGUUAUUCUUACUAGCUUUAUCCGUGUUCAAUCUCACCUAACCCAAAGGAGGAGGAGUCCACCUUAUUUUCUUAGCCUCUCAAAUCAACUUUAUUUUACUACCAUGUAGCUCCGCUACCCAAGAAAAUACUCAUGAGCAACUUUAGUAACAUGCCGCCAUAUAAUUCUAGGUCUCCAAAACAAUUUCAUCACGUCGUUCCUUAUUCUUCCAUAUCCAAAGUGCAGGGAAAGAGGUUGCUCAAAGUUUCAACCACGACGAAUCUCCACUAAUACCAAAAUCCAAACGCAAAUAAGUAUCCAACCACUACUUAAUAUUACUAGUGAAAAAAUAAUCUCUCAUAUUCAACUUAACCACAUUAGUCCAAAUAACAAAUGGUAAAUGACAAUCACAUAAGACAUGUAUAAUGGGUUCCACUUAUGUCCCAUAGUGACUACAAAAAGGUCCUCUUAAUUGCAUUUUAUUUUCUAUCUCAUUGGUCAUUAUCCUACCAUGAUACACAUACUAAAUAAAGGACCUUAUUCGUUCAGAUACUUUAAGCUUCCAUAUCGACCUCCAACUAUCCUCAAUAUUUUGCCUACCAAAAUUAGUCAUUAAUUUAUAACUUGAUGAAACAAUAUACUCAACUUUUUUAUCGUUUGGCCAACAACAAAUAUAUCUUAAACUAUUACCAUCAAGAGGGAGAAUAGCUAGAAUUUUAGUUACCAUAUUUUUGGGAAACAUAUGCUUUAAAAUAUCCAUAUUCUACUUAUCAUUUUGAUCUAAUAUGUCCUCUAAAUUGUGAUAAGAAGUUGUAUUAACACCAAUUGUAUUAAUAUUCAUCAACUUCAUACACGGUUCAACUCAACAAUGAGACCAAACAUCUGUAUUGGCAAUAUCUCUUAUAGAUAAAUAUGCAAAUUGAGCAAACUUAGGCCAUAAGUUACCAAGAUUCUUCCACAAACUUGAAUCAUUUGCCUUAAUAAUCACAUCCUUAUAAUCAACAUUGUUCUUCAUAUAUUCGCCCCACAUAAAUUCAAAACAAAGAGAUUGUUCAUUACCAUGAAUAGCCCAACUAAGCUUCAAAAGACAAAAAUUAUUCAUAACAUCCAAUCGUCUAAUACUUAACCCUCUUAAGAACUUUGGCAACAUCAUUACAUCUUACUUCACCGAAUGAACUCUUCUAUGCUCCUCGCUAUCACCCUAGAUAAAACAAAACUAUAACUUUUGAAUCUCAUGCAAACAAGCUGUAUAAAUGCUAGUAGUCAUCAUAAUAUAGGUUGGAAGAGCUUCAAUAACAACUUUAGAGAUAUUUACCCGACCUGCAAAAGAAAGAUGUCAAGUUUUUCAAAUGACAAACUUUGACUUAACUUGCUUUAGGAUAUAAUUAAAAUCAGAUCUUCUUGGUGCACUUCUAACGAGAGGGACACCCAACUAUUUUCCAAGUGAUUGUGUUUUACAGAAGCCAGACAUAACAUCCAAUUUACGACGAAUAGACACAUGAGUGUCUCUAUAAAAAAAAAUGCUUGUGUUUACCAAUAAUCACUUGCUAACCAAACAAAAGGAAACAUUGAUUAACAAUACCGAGCAUAUUGAAUUUAAACCCAUGUAGCUUGACAAAAAAAUAUAAGAUCAUCUACAAAUAUCAAGCGAGAUAUGAAAGGACAAUUUCUACCCGCCUUCAUAGUUUUCCAAAAGUGUUGCUCCACACAAUGAGAAAUAAGAUGAGACAAUUUAUCAAUGCAAGCAACUAAGAGGUACUAAGAAAUAGGGUCUCCUUGUCUGAUACCUAUUUCCAAGUUUGCAACCGUUUUAUCGGUUAGAACAAGAUUUGAUUCUGCAUCAGACCUUUAAUUUUAAUGAUAACAAUGCAUUGUUUCUUAGAGAAUAAUUUUGUACACUAAUGAUUCUCAUCUAGUGUGUAGUUUUUAAUAACAUGUUUUGACUCUGAAGUAAUGACAUGUGACAUUAUCAGAUUCUGGAAUCAACACACUCUGACUCCGAGAAGAUUCAAGUUCUUUACAAGAUGUUGUCAAGUUCUAUAAAGCUCUUAGACAACGGUUGUAAGGAACGUUCAUGUUAAAGCUUCUGAAUGUGACUAUGAUUGAAGAGCCUCCGAAGGUUUGUUUGUCUUAAAGAUUAUGUGCUCAAAUUUUGAAGAUUUUGAAGAACAAGAUCUGAAGACUCUGAAGACCAGGUUCUGAGGAACUCUGUCAAGACUUUGAAGACCAAAGUUCUGAAGAUUAUGUCAACUUGUCUCUUGAUCCUUCUAAGCAUGCUUCAACAUCAUUUCAUUAUAAGCCUAUGAAGAUUAGAAGAUAAGAUCAAAAGGUUUUGCGUCAGGAAAAUAGUACACAAUACAAGAUCGCCAUUUCCUCCACUACUAUGAUUUUUUGGGCUAAGGACAAUAUUAUUGUACCAUUUUGUCUCACAUGUGCAAACCGUAAUGAAAAGAGACAACUGCAAUUCAAUAUUUCAAUUCUACCCUCCAACGGUUCUUUUAUAUGCCUAUAUAAAGGAUACUUGAAGAUUGGAAGAAUCUGCUAAUUCACUGCACUCAUAACAACACUACUACACACGCUCUUGUUGAAAUCAUAUUAUUUCUGAGUAUAGUUUUUGUAAAUACACAAGAGUUUUUACUCGUUAUUGUGUGAGAAAUAUUUGUAUUAACUUGUUAUAUAUUAAUAUAAAUAUAUUAUUAAUAUUUAUAAAUUAUGAAUUUUUAAUAAAAAAUUAUAUUUAAACAUAAAUUCAUAGUAUUUUUUCAUGGAUUUCAGAUCAACUGUUUUUUUGUCAAUAAUAUAUAUAUAUAUUAUAUAUAUAUAUAUAUAUAUAUAUAAUUUUUUGUAGUAUACUAUAGUGUUUAUUAAUGUUAUGUAAAAAUAUAUAGUAUACUAAGGUAAGUAAGUAAUUAAUAUUCAUAAAUUAAUUAUAUAACAGAAAAUAAACUAAAUUUAUUAUAUAUCUUUUUGGUUAUCAAAAUCACUGAAUUUGUAGUGACGUGCAACAAUUGUGACCCAGAAACCGCAACAGUGAUUGUGAUGAUGAAACAAUAUAAAAUUCAAGGCGACCGUUCAAUAGUGUUCAUUUUGUAGUAAUGCGCAAGUCUGGCAUUAACAUCUCUCCUACCAUCAAUUUGGUUCAAUUCAUCUAAAAUAAUAUACACUAAUAAAUAGAAGUAUAAGAGGAUCAUAAUAUAGUAGUGAUAUCAAGAUGGAUUUCUACAAUGGAAACGUUGAUGAACGAUCUAUACGGUGGAAUCAGAAAAUUUUGUGUUGGAAGACUCAAAGAAUAUGAUUUGCUAACAAAAUCUCUUUAUGGACUAAAACAUGUGUCUCGUUAGUGAUACCACAAGUUUCAUGAAGUAACUCUCCUAUUUAGCUUUGAGGUGAAUCUUGUUGAAGAUUGUACGUAUUACAAAUUUAGUGGGAGGAAGUAUAUUUUCUUAGUCCUAUAUGUUAAUGACAUAUUGCUUACCUCCAAUGAUAUAGACAUGAUGUACGAAAUCAAGAAAUUUCUAUCAAGAACAUUCAAAAUAAAAGAUCUUGGUGAUACCUCUUUUGUAUUAGGAAUUCAAAUACAUCGAGACCGAUCUCGAGGUAUUCUCGGAUUAUCACAAAUGAUAUAUAUCGAAAAGCUACUUAAAAGGUUUGGCAUGCAAGAAUGUAAAUUAGGGGAUACUCCAAUGGCUAAGGAAGUCAAAUUCCGUCUCAGUUAGUGUCCAAAAGGAAACUUAGAAAUUCAAGAAAUGCAAAAGAUUCUUUAUGUGUCAGCUGUAGGGAGUCUGAUGUAUGAUUAAGUGUGUACGCGUCCGAAUAUUGUGUUCAUAGUUGGGAUGUUAGGCAGAUAUUUGAGCAAUUCAGGAAUGGAUCAUUAGAAAGCGGCCAAAAAUGUUAUGAGGUAUUUAAAGAGAACAAAAAACUAUAUGCUCACAUAUAUGAGGUCAUACCUCCUAGAGAUCACUAGACACUCUGGCUCAGAUUUUGCUAGAUGCUAAAAUAGUAAAAGAUCCACUUCAGGCUAUAUCUACAUGUUGGUUGGUGGUGCAAUUUCUUGGCGUAGUGCUAAGAAAAUCCUUACGGCUUCAUCCACCAUGGCAACAUAGUUUAUAACAUGUUAUGAGGCUCCCAACCAUGGGAUUUGGCUGAGGAAUCUUGUCAUUGGACUGCAAAUUAUGGAAGGAAUUGAAAGACCACUUAAGUUAUACUAUGACAACAAAUCAACCGUCAUGUAUUCUAACAAUAAUAGUAGCUCCACCAAGUCCAAACAUAUUGACAUCAAGUUUCUAAUUGUUAAAGAAUGGGUACAAAGUGAACAGAUUUCUAUAAAACAAUUGGGUACAAACUCCAUGAUAGUAGAUCCUCUUACAAAAGGUCUCCAUCCAAGGUCUUUCAUGAGCACAUUGCUCACAUAAGUGUUUUAUCGGUAGAGGAUGACACUGACGUCAGCGAAAAAGUUUGAAGAGUGUCGAAAAUACUUUUAAAAAAUGUCACCUUUCUUUUUUGGAUUCAAAAUCGAAAUAUGACAUUUUGGGGAGCAAUUUGUUACCUCAGAUUUUCGAGACAAGCAUUAAUUAUUAAAAAUGAGAUAAGUUUUACGUGAUAAUGAGUUUAUUGCUAAAAAUCAAAGUGGUCAGUUACGAUCAUGGAAAGCUUGACGAAUUUGAUUUAUCGAGAAACAUGUAUCAACUUUGGCCGUAUUGUAAUCAGUCAGAGACCAUGAAGUUUAUUAGUUUUAGGACUUAGUGAAAUUCAGAGUACCCAAAUAUUUUUUCUAAGCAGUCGAAUGAGGUGUAAGAGGAUAAGAUCAGACAACUAUUUGAGGACACAUGGGAGCCUGUCAAAGACGGAGGCUGCAUGUAAACGAAAAUGUGGUAUAUUUUGCUUUGUCGACCGUUGUAGACGGUUAACUUAGGACUAAUAUAUAAGUAAGCAUUCACUUAUAUUUUAGGAGUCCGCAAGUGGUAUGAUAGUACUUUGAGUGUAGAAAAGAAAGUCAAUUGGAAGACUUGGUGGAGAUUCUCUUGUUGGUCAAGUCUCUGCCUGAGGUAGAAGACACAUUUGUUUGGUGGAAAGGUUGUCAUAGUUUUUAAGUUAACGGUAGUUAUAAUUUCUUGUUAAAAUUAUACAAUGAGGAGAUUCAUCUGGAAGAAGUGAGAGAGGUCCCAAGCAAGGUUCAAUCUUUGAGCUGGAGGCUCUUGCUCAAUCGACUCCCAACUAAGAUUCAACUUGCAAGAAGAGAGGUUCUUGAAGAUAGUCACAACUUGGUGCACCCUUUAUGCUUAAUUAAAGAAUAAGAUGAAACUCAUAUUUUCAUGGGUUGCUUAGUAAAUAAGUUUGUUUAGAAGAAGGUUAACGACUAUAUCGAAAUUGCAAAAGUGAAAGAAGCAUAACAUUAUUUCUUCCCAUUUAGUCCAAUUUUGCUCAUUGAUCAAAAAAGAAUUUUUUAGAAAAAUUUAAUUGCUUAUUUUGGUCGGUUGUUUUGUUGGAUUCUUUGAUCUUGUAUAAAUAAUAUUUUAUUUAAAAGAGCUCUCUUGUAUGAGUGGACACUGGUAGGAGUAUCAAGCUUCUAUAAUAUGAAUGAUCUCAAGUCAAUUUCAAAAGUUCUCUUUGUUGGGUUAAAUGGUAUAUUAAUCUAAGUCCCACAUCGGGUAGUAGGAAGAAAAUAGAAAUUGAGUAUUAAUAUAAAUAGAGAUAGUUGAUUUUAGUUUUCUAUCAACAACAAAAUGUAGUCUUUCGGUGUGUAUUGAGGAUUUGGGUAGUUGUGUGUUUAUGGAGGGUUUUCUAUUCAAAAAUAGUCCGUUGAGAGGGUUUUUAUUUUUUCGUUCAAAAAAUAGUUUGUUGAGUAAAAAUUACAAGUUUAAUUUUUGCUUAUUUUUCUUUUUUGUGGGUAUAUUUUUGCAUGCGUAAAAAAAUUCUGAUCAAGGGAGGAAGAAGAUAAAAAAAAACUGAAGAGUAUAAAUAAAGAUAGUUUAUUUUAGUUUUCUACACAACAAUCAAAUGCAGUCUUUUAAGUGUAUUUGAAGAUUUUGGUAGUUGUGUGUUUAGAGAGGGUUUUUUAUUUUUCUUUUCAAAAAUUAUUUGUUAAGAGGGUUUUUUUAUUUUUUCUUUCAAAAAUAGUUUGUUGAGAGGGUUUGCAAUUUUCCAUCCCAAAAUUAUAGUUGAGAGAAGAUUUGCAAUUUUUUCGUCCAAAAAUUGUAAUGGAGAGAGGGCUUAUAAUUUUUCCGUUCAAAAAUUGUAAAUGAGAGAGGGUUUGUAAAUUUCUCCUUAAAAAUUGCAAUUGUAUGAGAGAGUUUAUAAUUUUGUCAUUGUAAAAAUUACAAGUUGAAUUAUGAUUUUAAGAGUUUUUGCUUUUUUUUGUCGGUAUGCUUUUGCGUGCGUAAUUAGGCGGAUUAGAAAUCCAAUUUGGGGAGUUGUUUAUCUUGCAAGUUUAUCUCCUAUCUUUCUAUUUCUAUUGUGGAUGUAUCUCUUAGGUGUUGUCCCUAAAAUAAGGGUUGAACACCCUUUAUACUCUUUUUUAGUAGAAAUCAAUAUCCUCAUCGCGCAACUGCAUAUAUUAAUCUCUCGAGCUGAAUAUUAAUCUCUCGAGUCGAGGAAGACCACAACAAACGAUAAAACUCUCCCUCAAGAGAUUUAACAUUGUUGCGUGUCCAAUGUGUCCAAUGUUGAGUUUGAACCAAAAAUCUCUUGUUUAACUAAAAGAGACCAUUAUCAUGUCAUUCAAAUUCUCUUGCAUACCCUUUUAUUCCUUUUAAUUCAAUUCUCCUUCGCUUAUAAAAAACACUUUCUCUUUCUCUUGAAUAAUUUACCCUAAUAUAUUGCCCACACUUCAUAUUUAUUUUCUCAUUCUUUGUGUGAAUAAUGACUAAGUUGGUCAUAUAUAUAUAUUUCCCGACAACAAUGUAUAAUUCAUUCAUUAAAAGACAAAAGGUUAGUACAAAUGAUAUAAGCUAAAGAUUCAUAGACCUUUCCUACUAGACUAUGCGCAGCCUAUUUUACAAAGACUAUGACAACAAUAUUCAGACACAAUGCAACUAAGUUAGAUUCAAUUAUUGCGAGAAUUACUUGUCAAAUUGAUUAACUCCCCUGUAAAAUGUGAGACAGCAACAGCUAUGACACUUGUCAAGUCUCAAAACUCUUCUGAAUUUUUACAAAUAUCCUUUAGAUUUUAGGAUCUGGAUCUUGUUUUUGAAUCCCGACGUUGUGUGAAUCACUAAUGAACAUUAAAAUAAACAUUCGGUUAAAUCAAAUUAUGAAUCAACAUUAGUGAAAAUACAUCUAUAUAAAUUUAAAACAUCAAUGAAUCUAACUGAUCGUUCAAAUCACAAUAACAUUAACAUUAACAUUAAUUCUAAACAAGUGAAAGUCUGCUGCUUGUAAUAAAUUGUAGUUAGAUAGGAGUUUAUUUUUAUUCACUACAACAAACAAGACCUUAGACAGCGCUUUUUUUAGCCUUAGACAGCGCUUUAAAGCGCUGUCUAAACCUCCGCUGUUAAAGGUUUAGACAGCGCUUUUUUAAAUCUUAAAAGCGCUGUCUAAGCCCCCCCCCUUAGACAGCGCUUUGGCCAAAAGCGCUUUAAGACCCUCUUAUUUUAAAUUUUUAGGUAUACCUUAGACAGCGCUUUUGAAAAGCGCUGUCUAAGCCCCACCCCCUUAGACAGCGCUUUGGCCAAAAGCGCUUUCUAAGACCCUCCUAUUUAAUUUUUUUAGGUAUACCUUAGACAACGCUUUUCAAAAGCGCUGUCUAAGCCCCCCCCUUAGACAGCGCUUUUGCCUAAAGCGCUUUCUAAUCCCCCUUAGACAGCGCUUUUACAAAAGCGCUGUCUAAGGUAUACGAAAAUUUUUGAAGCUUUUGUUUUAAACCGCAUUUUUUCCAGGUUUAUAACCAGAAUUUCUACCUGUUUCAACCAGAUUUUGACAGACAAUUAUCACAUUUUAUAUAUGCCAUUUUGACCUUUUUUCUACCAAUUUUGGCUAACAAAUAUAUAUAUAUAUACCAAUUCAAACCAAUACAAAAUUACUAAUAUAUUAAAACUACAAAAAUAACUCUAAUCAAAACUACUAAAGUUACAGUAACUAGAUGCACUGUGGUUGCCUCGUUUAUAUCAUUUAAUUCUACCAUCGCAUGCAUGCAUGUCGCAUCCUGCGAAAAAUCAACCGGCGAGCUAAAAUAAAAACACACAGAGCCGCCACUGCGCGGUUAUUUAUCCCUGGAUAGGGAAAGGAAACGCUCAGAGAAACCUGGAAAGAACAUGGUCUCGCGACCAAAGAGAAAGGGUAAGGGAGUCGGUUACGCAAGGGGAAGGUAUUAGCACCCUCACGUCCGUCGUACUCGACGGGAUCCACGUCCUAGAAUAAAGAAUAGGUGCAAACAUCACACACACACACGGGGAACGCAGGUGGGUUUAGGAGAAGGGAGCUCGAUAAGGUAUCGCACCUUAUGCCUACAUAUCUUGUCUGGAACAAGAAUCAGAGCCACUGUAGUUCGGCUUACGCACGCCAAACAACACAAAACACACAAACAGACAAGGGGGCAAACAUGGAGCCCGACAACCACUGGAUGGAAUUACGUCAGCAUCCGAACCAAAACGCACUCAAAAGGGCAAACGUGGAGCCCGACUGCCAAUCACUGGCUUACGUCGGCAUCCGAACCAAAACACACAAUCAGAUAACAAGUAAACGCACGCAAAAGAAAAGGUUGCCCGGAGAGGUCUCGCACGACCCCCUGCCCUACAUACCUCGUCUGGAACGAGGAUCAGGGCGAUGUAGUUCCCCUGAAAGGGAAAAAGAUUUCAGCCAAAAACCGGGGGAAGACGCACUACCAGGGAGCUGGACUCGAGCCUAGUGUUGUCAUGCAUCGUUACCUAAGUUCAGUUUUCUAUCCUACUUACAUAAGCAAACUAUUCCUAUCCAGGAAAGAAGCAAGCACACAAGCAUACAAAAUAAUUCAAGCAUACAUCAAAUGAGAACAAGCAUCUCAAACAAGCAUGUCAAUCAGAUAUCCACAUAGCACGCACUAUAAACCAAACAAGUGGCUCACACAAUAGGUUGACUGCCUCAGCAAGUCGUCUGUACGGGCUGUGUGUGCUCUUAACCUUGCAUUACGAGGCUAAGGUGAACAGAUGAAAGGAUGAAGUGAGGAUCAGACCUCACAGCUCUUAUCCCUAACCAGGGAGAGCUUCUGACAAAUGAGCAUGGGUCCAGAAUGGGGGAACCCUUCUAUACCAGAGACUCUGGCACAAUGUGCACUGCACGGAUCUUGGGCUUGUAAUCUCAAUGCUACAACCAUGUAAUGGGAGCAGGAGAAGACUCACAGAAUAGUGGGGGAUAGAUUGCUUAUCCUAACUUCCACCAAUUCCUUAUUUAAAGGACUUUCACCUGCUUGGCACGAAAUAAAACAACCACAAUCAUUGCCUCUUAAGGAGGACUUCAGACAGUUUGCCCGUCAAAUAACAGACCGGGUCUCCAGACUACAGAAGUCAAGAGGACCUACCUCAAGCGCGUUUACCCAACCAGCAGCAGCUACCAAGCAAGUUCUUAAAAGAACUAGAAGCGGCUAAAGGUACCUGUACAAAAAGCUAACCAAUUAGCAACUCAGACAAACAGUCAGAAAACAACAAGUGUUCAACCAAUCAGACUAUACAAACUAAUGCACAACAAAGCAAGCUCAAAAACUCAAGCCCAAGCUUCACAACCUACAAAACAAAGUUAUGUUUAGUGUACAAACAUCAAACAACAUCAAUUGCAUUUAACUUGAUUCAUUCUCCAUGUGCAUUGGCUAUUCAUCCUGAAAAAUCAAGCAAACAUUAGCAACAGACCACUAGGCCAAGCUAGGGUCCAAAGGCAAGAAAAAUUCCUAAACAGCAAGGUAUCUCUAACCAAACUCAAAUUAUGUCAAACAAAAGCCAACACAAUUAAUCCCAUGGCCUAUCAUUCAUCAUGUUCAUUUUAUGCACAAAACAAAUCAAACUAGUUCAAAUGGAACACAAAACAUCCAAACAGAAACUAUUGCAUUCAAAUCCAUAUCAAAACAAAUCAAAAAAAUCUCCAAUAAAUUACACCUAAACAGGGUCUAUUCAAGGUAUGGCACACCAAAUUUCAGCUUAAUUGGGCAAAGGAACACCAUUGUCAAUGAAAAUCAACAAAAACGACACAAUUAUAUGCUCCAAAUCACAACAUCAACACAUGCUUCCAUUUCAAAAUUCAUAACUCAAUGAAAACAGUAAAGAAAAGGAUGGGACCAAAGCAGGAUGUCACAUCAUGUGUCUACAACUAUCAUACCAAAUUCAUAAAGCAUUCAACCACCAUAUGAGCAUGUUUCCACAAGGAUAUUUCAAACACAUGUCACACAAGCUGCACAUUGACCAACAGAGAUGAAAAAUAGCAAUCCAAAUUGAAAAUGCCACAUCUCUNNNNNNNNNNNNNNNNNNNNNNNNNCAGUAACUAUUUGCCAUUCAAAUCCAUAUCAAAACAAAUCCAAAAAAAUCUCAAAAAAAUUACACCUAAACGGGGUCUAUUCAAGGUAUGCACACCAAAUUUCAGCUUAAUUGGGCAAAGGAAACCAUGUCAAUGAAAAUCAACAAAAACAGACACAAUUAUAUGCUCCAAAUCACAACAUCAACACAUGCUUCCAUUUCAAAAAUUCAUAACUCAAUGAAAACAGUAAAGAAAUGGAUGGGACCAAAGCAGUGAUGUCACAUCAUGUGUCUACAACUAUCAUACCAAAUUUCAAAAGCAUUCAACACCAUAUGAGCAUUCAAAGGAUAUUUCAAACACAUGUCACACAAGCUUGCACAUUUGACCAACAGAGAUGAAAAAUAGCAAUCAAAUUGAAAAUGCCACAUAAAAUUCCACAAAAAUUCACAUAGCAUCUUAACAUGUUAAUGAACAUCCAUGCAAAAUUCACAUCAUUUCACCAAGUAUAGGUCACUCAAAUAAAUCCAGCAAGUUGACAUAAUGAGGUGUGACCACAGUUGUCACACCUAAGUUCCAAAAUUCAUAACUCAAUGACCAGGUAUCAAAAUUCAUGAAAUUACAUGGAAAAAGCCUCAACCAGUCCACAUUUACCACAAAAAAAUUUUCAGAAUUUAUUGUAGCUGAGAAUUUCACAUUUGGAUUUGGCACAAUAUCCAAAAUGUGCAAUGUUAAAGAAACCCAGGUCAAACAUAAUGUUCUACCAGCACAACUUAACCAAUAGGUCAAAAAAAUCGUAGAGUCAAAAAGGAAGUCAAAAGAAAAAAUGGCCUAUGAUUUUAUGAAUUUUCUAUGAAUUUUUGGUGAAUUUUCUAAGUCAGGGUGAUUUUUUAACAAUUGAGAUUAAUUAGAAAUUGGAAUUUACAAUGGCAGAGUGGUAAUACAGUGCGCGGGGGAGGGAAACCCUAAUCAAAAAUUUCCCCAAACCAGAUUUGGGAUCAAACAUCACUCUCCUUGUCAAUAAUUUUGUCCAGAAAUUACUAAGAACCGCAUGAACACGCGAAAUCCAAACGACACGCAAAAAUGAGCAUGCGAAUAACCGAUAGGACCGUGGCUGAACAUGUAGAAGCUAAUAGAGCUUAUUAAGCCUAACCUGUUCCUCUAUUUUUCUCCAAUCGAUCGGACCUAGGCGUUGUUGUCCUUAGAAACUGCAAAUCAGGAUAACUUCCCUCAGGUUAUCAUUUCACAAACCAAUCAUACCACCAUAUCUACAGUCCACGAAACUGAUAAACCGGCAUGGAUAAUUAAAGAAACGGUAAAACUGCGAAUUCUGACCUUGAUCUUUGAAAGACAUGUGUUGAUUUUGAGUUUCAGUCGUUUUGAUCCAAAACAGCAGCAGGACAGCUCCAGGGAAGUGAAUGCUAGCCUCAGGGCUGAAUCGAUGUUCUAUCCUCCUAGCGCGCAAACUGAUUCACCAUUGAUGAUGCAAUUGUUGGAACAGUGUACGGAUUUACCACGGUCCGUUUCCGUUCCAAUCUCACCCAUCAAAAAGAUUGAGAUGAUCUGAUGAGAGGAGUUCAAAUUAAAAAGAAAUCGCAGAUGUGACAAGGAUUUGGAGGAAGAGUGGUAGUUUUAGGGUUUGGGUGUUAUUGAGGAAUUUUGAUGAGAAUAGAAGCGUUGUCAGAUCUGGGUUUUGGAAUGGGGUAAUUCUGUGAAUUAGAUGAUGAAUUAGGAAUAGAUAUCCCUUGCUUAAUCCCAGCUUAAUUACACCAGUAACCAAAUGGAAAUUGAUGAGUGACAAUGGUUUCAAUUUCUCAAAGCAAAGGUGCAAAAGUGUAACAUGCAUAUGCCAGCUCAUUGCCCCGUAUGGACAGCGCACACACUCUCAAAAUGGACAGUGUGAGCUGUGGCAAACUUGUUUCACUACCUCCAUUUGGGAUGAGUAUUGUUUGGGAAAAUUUCACUAUUGUGAUGGUCACUUUGUCCAUUUUUGCAUUUCAUUUUAAGUCCAAUUGCCAAACCACAAGGCCUAGGCAGGUUAAGGAUGAAGUUCCAACAAAAGUUCACAAUACAUUUAUGAGGUGUGUGCAAAAAAUCCCACUCAAAAAGUCUCAAUUAUUUCACAAGUUGGACAAUUGGGCCCCUGGUCAUUAACUGGUUACAGUGAAAUUUGACAUUUUUGCAUGUGACCAUUUUUGCGACAAACCAAUUCACCUGCACCAUGAACAGUACCAAAUGGGUCUAAAUGAGUCGUGCUGGCAUAUAAAGUAACCCCAUGAAUGCAAACCUAAGGACCAAACACAUGGUGGAGAGUUAAUGGGGGACACCGGUACCUUGCAAUUGGGUCAUUUUUGAAUUGUUCACGAGCCAUAAUGAUCCAACCAUACAUGGGAUUUUCAAGUUCUUGGACUUUUUGGAAAGGUGAGAACAAGAUCUACAACUUUCAUGUUGAACAAUUUUCAUUUGAAGCUUCCUUAGACACGUGGCUUUGAGGUCCAAAACUUUCCAUUUUUUGGAAACUUCAAUUACAAGGCACUUUUCUAUUUUUGUGUAGUUCGUGUCCUGACUUGAUGUUCUUCAUUUUAAGCUUUGAGAUUCAUAUAACACUGUUCCAACAUGAAUGAAGUGUAUCCAACUCAUGUUCACCUCCAAAUCCAUCAAAUCAUGAACAGUUGACCACAGUUGACUUUUUCAUCUGAUAGAUGAAUUGGGCAUACAUAGAUCAAUCUGAGCCCCAAUCUUCAACUGAAAUGGCUCAAGGGUGAAACCCUAGCCUCAAUAAGCUCAAAAUAAUCAUAGAAUGAACCCCAUAACCAUCACAAACCCCAUCUCCUGAUCAUGCCCGGCUGGCCCACUGCCAACUGAUAGGGUUGACCAGUGGUCAAAACCCUAAUCUCAAGGGAUCUGCUUCAACACUUGAUUCUUCUGAUGAUAACCAACCAUGAUGAUGAUGAUGUAUCAUUGCAAUCAAGAUGAAGACCACCAUCCAUUGAGAAUCAUGAAACCCUAAUUUGUAGCCCAAUCCUCAGAUGGCCAAUGAUCAGUCAAUAAACCCUAGGCUUGCCUUGACUUCCUCAUCUUCUGAUAAGAUUGAGAGGAUAGCUUGCACAACGUAACCACAUGAUAUGCCAAUAUGAAAUUCCUAAUGACCUAAAAAUGUAUGCAAUAUGUUAAUACUAGUCCCAAGAGAGGAGGGCAAAUUUUGAGGUGUUACAAUGCAUAUCUAAACAAGGCAGGGGUUGCUAUCGUUCUGUAAUACUUUAUAAAUAAUUAAGAAACUGAAUUGUUUUUUUUUUUACUGGAUUGUUCUUCAGCAGGUGCUGUUAUGCAUAUAACUAACUGUCUACGUCAAUGACACAUCUCACACGAGCAUUCUAAAAGAUAUUAAAUUAUAUAUGAAGAUGAAUUCAAAACAGGUAACCAGGACAAUUCCUCUUUAUUAAUUCUCAAUGCAUACGAUAUGGUCAUCUAUUUCUUCCUCUGGUGGGGCAUCAGAUAUGUCUGCAAUCUUAUGAAUACAAAAAUCAAAAUCUGAGAACCUAAGCGCUUCUCAUUCAGAUAUUAAUUGUAUACUUGUUCCAUGAUUCCAUGAUGAUGAUGGUAAAGACGACUUUAAUCCAUAUAGACUCAAUAUAUCUCUUUCUAAUUUUGUAUUUUUGAGAAUCCUUUUUUGAUGGUUAUCAAUAUAAAAACUAUUAUGAAAAAAAUAGUUUUUCAUGUAGAAUAACAUGUGUGACUUCCGUCAAAUUCCACUAUUUUUAUGUUAAUGAUACCUUUACAAUACAUAUUUUCCUUUAGAAAUGUAUUUAUACCCUCUCGCAAUAACACAUUUUUCACUUUAAAUCACUUCAGAUGAGUUAUAUUUUAUCUAUUUAUUAUUGUGACACACCACAAAAAUUGUUAUAAGAAAAUUCCAAAACCUAUAAAAAACUAAUGGUACAUAAAUCGAUUAAAUGAAUGACUCUGUACCAAUUAUUAGGACAAGAUGGAGGAGAAAUUUCAAUUGCUAAAUCAUUUUCUUCGGGUUUCUACACUUGGCCACCCUUAUCAGCUUGCAAUUGACAAACUCAGCCAAUAUCUUGAUAUCUUCAUCUUCCAAACGAGCUCCAAUGUACACUGCCCUCGAGGCAUGCAUUCUUUUACCAAAUCCCUGCAUGAAAAUUGAAGCCCUAAACAUAAACUAUGAAGAAUGAAGAAUAAAUCAUAAAGAAAAAGCUAAUUUUCUAAAUUCUCAAGUCUAUACAAUUACAAUAUAUCUCAUCGCAUUCUUCCUUGCCAUAGUAUGUGACGCGGUAGAUUCUUCUUCUGUAUCAACUCCAUUUCUGUACAGCAACAUCAGAAGAAAGAAACAUUGAUUCACGCCUUCACUUUAGGGCAGAGAGCAAUUCACAAUGAGAGUUCUGAGGUUCUUUACCUUUGUAAAUCCUUGUGUGAUAGAUGUUGAUCCCUGUUAGAAAAUAAAAAUCAAUUUUGUGUUUGCUAGAACAUAAGAAAAGUUAUGUGAAGAGGAUGAUAUGCUUACUGGUUGUAUAAAUGUUUUCCACCUGCAUCGUGACAUCCAAUACAUGUUUGACGGAAACAAUGAGGCUCCUCUUAGGAUAUCUAGGGUUUGGGCACUUGAAACUGUAGAACAAGAAAAGUGAUUGGCAAUUUGGAUGGGAGCGAGUAGUGCAAUUUGAAUAGAGACGCAGGGGCAAUUUAGUAUUUUAGACAGGAGCAAACCUGGAGUGACGCAAAUUGGAGAAAAAAGCAAGAAUGCAGCAGCAAGAGAGGGAGCCAGGUGGUUGAAAAACUUGACUUGGUUUGUCUUUGUAGGAAUGGGCUUCAACUGGUUCUUCCUCUGUUGGGAGGGGCAUCAGAUAUGUCUGCAAUCUUAUGAAUAUCAAAAUCAAAAUCAAAAAGUUGAGUAUUGAAAAAUGUCCUACAUGCAUGUUUUAAAUUGCAGUUGUGGAAAUUGUAGUUUUAAUGUUGCUGAGACUUCAACAUCCGCAAUUAUAGUUGUGGAGUGCAAUUUAAACUAAGAUUUGUAUGCACAAGUCUGUAAAAGUUUUAGUUUGUAAAUUACUACACAUACCUAUAACCCCACUCAUUGUCAUACCACGAGACAACUUCACAAAGGACUUACUAAGCCCAAUCCCAGCCUUUGCAUCAAAGAUACUCGACCUGUUAAUAAGAAAUACAUUUAAAUUAAAACGCUUACUUGGCAAACAAACAUGAUCCUAACAACAACAGAAAAAAACUGCGACUAAUAUCAUAAAAGAGCGAGAUAAAUAAAGUUUAGUUUUAAGACAAAUAAAAAUCUGCUUUGAGCAUAUGUAAAUGAAAAUUCAAAAUGUGCAUAAUACCAGAUUUUAGCAUGUAUACUAGAUAAAAAGGCACAAGAGUGUCUGUCCUCUUAAAGAUGCUGAUAGUGAAUCUAAAUUUUGAAAUACAGCAACAUUUACUUACCUUGAAUCACCAACAAAGUCAUUAGAGAACAACUCUCAUCUGUGUAUCCAAGAAUUCCCUCAAUGUCCCUCUGAAGCGUGCCUUCAUUUUUUUUCAGUAGCAAGUAAUAGAAAACCAACGAAUGGUUAGUACAAAACAACUCGACAUGAGAGAAUAUAAGCCGGUCAGAAAAGUAAGAGACAUUACGUUAUUGCUGCUUUAACAUCUUCAUAGGAGGCAUUCUUUUGAAGCCGACAGGUAAGUCCACAACAGAAACAUUAGGAGUAGGAACACGAAAGGCCAUUCCAGUGAGUUUUCCAUUUUUAGCCGGAAGAACUUUUCCAACAGCCUGGAAUUUCACAAAGUGCAAAACUAAUUUAAUAAAUGUAAUUGGUAAGCACAGAAACUCUUAUGGCCAUCCAUCUCUUACCUUUGCAGCACCGGGAGAACUUGGAAUUAUAUUUGAGCUGCACCUCUUCCCCAUCAUUGAUUUCCUGCUGCAAAUCCUUCGGAUCCUUUCAUCAACAGUGCAUCCAACCGAGACACACGCAUAUUAGAUAAGUAAAUCCAUAAACAUUGUUUUUCAUUAACACAUAUCCAUGAAAAACAAUGUUUUAAUGGUGCAUGGAUCAUUUAUAAUUAACUAAUCCAUCCUAAAUGUUAUUACAUCAUAGCACCAUGCUACAUCCUAUCCAUCACAUGUUACAUGUUACAUGGUUUUGAUCAAAAGAUAAAAAAAGGGUUUCUCGCUUUGAAUGGCAGCCUUAACCUAAUGAUUCUUCCAUGCUCCACCUAUCCACUUGCCAUGCCAUGUUAAAUUCCCUUUGGGCCUGCCAAUAAACAUCAAGCAUUCAUCGAUACAUCAUAAUAGUCCCACCUCAAGCAACAACCAUAUCAUUCAACAAUUGCAGAGAAGCUCAACAUUCCAUUCAUCAACAGUGCAUCAACAUAACGAGCAAAUUAGAAAACAACAGUGCAAUAUCAAGAAUCAUUUGGCACAUGGAUAAACAAUAACAACAAUAAAUACAUCUGUUCAUAGAAGUAACAAUCAUUAAAAGAGCUAUCAUUCAACAUAAAAAAUACUAAACUAACAAGAACCCAUCCAAAGUUAACUAACAGUUUGUAACAGAAUAUAGCAGGCAACAUCAUAAUGUAAUUAACAUUUAACAACUCAUUUUCAAACUAACAGUAUAUGUAUCUUCGUUCACAUUUCACUUGAAUUUGAAUUUGAAUUUGAAUUUCGUGACUAACAAAACCAUUUCAUUCUAACUGAAAAUGGAAUUUCAUUUGAAUUCACGUAUCAUUUUCGUAACAGAUUCAAAGCCUUUAAAUUCAUCUCACACUUCACAUUUAAGGGGGUUCACGUUUUUCCAGAAAUACUCUCAACCUCUUUAUUUUUGUUUCCCUCUUAACUCACACACAACACUCCCUCUCCAAUUCAUUCACAGCGAAGAUUCAAUCCCUCACAGUUCUCUCCCAAACUCAUAGUUCUCUCUCAAUUCACCUCUAUCUCCUUCAGCAGAGCCUCUCAAUCCUCUCAAAGCAAACACAAGAGUUCAUAGUAGAAGAAGAGAUCAUAGUGAAAGAAGAAUAAGGAUAUUAAUUUAAUCUUGAAGAGAUGUUUUGGUAGAAGUUACCUGAAGUAACAUAGGGAGUUGAAUAUUCGAGCUUAUUGUCAAUCGCUUUGAAGAGACGUCAGAGCUACUCCGGCCAAUAAGCUCUUUUGCAUUUCUCCUUCAGUUCAUCUUCAACUUGUGCCAAGAUGUAGACCUUAGCCUAGGGAAUUGAUCCCUAAAUGAGGUUGGCAUCAACUUCCUUUCCCUUGCGUUUAAUUUCUGGAAGAUUGAUUUAGGGUUCUUGUGACAUUAGGCUCGAUUUGGUUGAUUGGUUAGGAAUUAGAUGAAAUUGAUGGUGAAGUCGGAUAGAGGACUUUGGAACAAGACAAAUGAUAUAGGUUUUAUAUUGUUUGGCUCUCCCGCCUCCGCCAUAGGCAAUUUCCGGUCUUUUUCGGGGAGAGACCGAGGGACCGAUCUUGGGAGCGAGGGAACUCGCCGCUCCGACUUCACCUCCGGUGACGCGGACGUAAACUUCGACGACUUGGGAUGGGUCGAGCUUGGGAGGCAUUGUGGAGAGUUUUAGGGGAAAUAGGGUUUCACACGGCGAAAUGAAGAAGCAGCCGCAACUAAAUGAAGAAAUGAACAGAUUUUUUUAAUUGAAAGACUUUAAACAGCGCUUUCUCAAAAGCGCUGACUAAGGUCUAUAUUUAAAAGCGCUUCUAAAAGCGCUCUCUAAGGGGGUCUUAGACAGCGCUUUCUAAAAGCGCUGUCUAAGACCCCCCCUUAGACAAGCGCUGGACAGCGCUUUCAUUAUUUUUUUAGAACAUUUUCCGUGUUUUAUUUUUAUUUUAACCUUAGACAGCGCUUUCUUUUAAAAGCGCUGUCUAAGAUGCGCUGUUAAAAAACCUUUUUGGCGUAGUGAUUGGAUACAAAUGAAACAAAUUGAUUUGUACAAAUUGCAGGGCAUUGUAGUAAGGGUGACAAAAAUGACCGUGAUUCGUAGAACUGACCCGAUAAUAUAAAUUGAUUUAUAGAAAUUGUAAGGUAUUGUAGUUGAGUUACAAUUUUGAGUCCAUCCACCCAUUUAAUAUGCCUUACCAAAGUGAAAAAAUCCGCGAACCGAAGACAUUAUGGGGUGGAUUGUUGAAAAAAAAUAUUUAAAAAAUAGCCAAUCUAAAAAAACAAAUGGUCCAAAACUUAAUACAUAUUAUGAUUUUUCUUCUUCUUAUAAAUACUUGUUUUUGGUUGUUUGAGGGUUAAUCCCAAUUAUUAAAAAUUCAAAAUAUUUAUUUUAGUUGGUUAAAUAUUAAUAUUUAAAUUAUAUUUUUGAAACUCGUAUUAAUGAUUUUAGACUUUUAAUUAUCAUUUUAAUUAAUUAUAGUAAUUUCAAUUCUUGAUGGUUUGGUUUUAUAUAUUUAUUUAUUUAUGAAUAUAUGCAAUAUUUUUUUAAAAGUAAAAUCAAUUAAAAAGAUAUUUUAUAGAAAAACAUUCUAAAAAAUAAAUGAAAAUUUUAAUUAUAAUUUUUUUAUUAAACUAUUAAAAAAUAAAAACAAAUGAAUAAAUAAAUAGGUGGACAAGUCCGUCAUCCGCUAAUCCGUCAUUUUGACAGGACAAACUAGAUUUUUAAGUCAAAUUAUGGAUUUUAAAUCCGAUUUUAUUUAACGAAUUUUGCAUAUUCUAUCCCUUUUUUGAUGGGUUCAAGGGUGGACGCGACGACAUGUUUUGUCACUCAAUUGUCCAUCAUGUUUAUAUCUCACAUCAAAAAUCAUGUGUUGAUUAAGUUCAAAUAUUUUAAUCAAAACUUAUAUUUUAUGUGAUUUAGACUAAUUCUAAUUUUAUAAUUAAAAAAUAUAAAAUAAUCCAUUAAUCUUUGUUCAGAUUAUAAAAUCUAAACAAGCUUUAUAUAAAGUAAUUUUAUAAUCCUAAAUAGUCAAACAUAAUAGAACACAUCAUAAAGAGUACAUAUACAUAAUAUGAAAAGAUCCUAAAAUAUAAAUAUAUAUAUAUAUAUAUAUAUAUAUAUAUAUAUAUAUAUAUAUAUAUAUAUAUAUAUAUAUAUAUAUAUAUAUAUAUAUAUAUAUAUAUAUAUAUAUAUAUAUAUAUANNNNNNNNNNNNNNNNNNNNNNNNNNNNNNNNNNNNNNNNNNNNNNNNNNNNNNNNNNNNNNNNNNNNNNNNNNNNNNNNNNNNNNNNNNNNNNNNNNNNNNNNNNNNNNNNNNNNNNNNNNNNNNNNNNNNNNNNNNNNNNNNNNNNNNNNNNNNNNNNNNNNNNNNNNNNNNNNNNNNNNNNNNNNNNNNNNNNNNNNNNNNNNNNNNNNNNNNNNNNNNNNNNNNNNNNNNNNNNNNNNNNNNNNNNNNNNNNNNNNNNNNNNNNNNNNNNNNNNNNNNNNNNNNNNNNNNNNNNNNNNNNNNNNNNNNNNNNNNNNNNNNNNNNNNNNNNNNNNNNNNNNNNNNNNNNNNNNNNNNNNNNNNNNNNNNNNNNNNNNNNNNNNNNNNNNNNNNNNNNNNNNNNNNNNNNNNNNNNNNNNNNNNNNNNNNNNNNNNNNNNNNNNNNNNNNNNNNNNNNNNNNNNNNNNNNNNNNNNNNNNNNNNNNNNNNNNNNNNNNNNNNNNNNNNNNNNNNNNNNNNNNNNNNNNNNNNNNNNNNNNNNNNNNNNNNNNNNNNNNNNNNNNNNNNNNNNNNNNNNNNNNNNNNNNNNNNNNNNNNNNNNNNNNNNNNNNNNNNNNNNNNNNNNNNNNNNNNNNNNNNNNNNNNNNNNNNNNNNNNNNNNNNNNNNNNNNNNNNNNNNNNNNNNNNNNNNNNNNNNNNNNNNNNNNNNNNNNNNNNNNNNNNNNNNNNNNNNNNNNNNNNNNNNNNNNNNNNNNNNNNNNNNNNNNNNNNNNNNNNNUAUAUAUAUAUAUAUAUAUAUAUAUAUAUAUAUAUAUAUAUAUAUAUAUAUAUAUAUAUAUAAUUGAAGUCAUCCACCGUAUUGAUAUUGUGUAAAUGUGGUAAGAUUGAGGUUUCUAGAGAGAUAUUUGAUCAGAUGCUGAUAAGAGUUUGGUUUCUUGGAAUGUUAUGAUUAUGGGUAUAUGAAUUAUUUCUCAUUAGGCAUGAAAGGAGUUUUUGAUAAGUUGGAAUUCAGUGGUAGCUGGAUAUAAGCUUAAUGUGUGUUUUUAUGAAGCUAUGAAGUUGUUUGAAGCAUUGUUGAAGAGGGGAUUGUGCCGAGCAAUGUUACUUUGCCGAGUUUCUGCUGUUUUGGGUUUGGCUGUUCUUGGUAAUGGAAGAUGGUUUGAUGGGUUUAUGGUUAAGAAUGAAAGAGGAGAUUGUGUGUUUUCAAGGCAGUAGUCAACAAGAAAUUGGUGCAUUGGACUGCUAUAAUUGUGGGCUUAGGAAUGCAUAGUUUGGCUAAUGAAGCUCUGGAGCUAUUUACAAAAUGUGCAGAAAUGGGAUGAAACCUCAUGCUAUAAUUUUCAAUGAUGAUAAAUGAGAAUAAAAUUGAGCCCACAGUUGAACACUCGGUUGCCAACCUUGAUUUGUCAAACAGAUGAUAGAAAGUUUGAAUUCUGCAUGAAACUGAGUUUCUGUCUAAGCAUAGUGCUAAAAGGAAGGGUGGUAUAGGUUAUGGGAAAUUAACACAGUCCAAUCAACAUGUUAAACUCAUGCACAAGAGUUUGAUAAAAACAUAUUUCUUUGGAUCCAUAUUUCUAACAUAUAAUCAGCCACAUACAGGUUCUUCUGCUAGAGUAAUUUACAUUGAUGAAAAUGGGAGUUAAACACAACAGAAAUGAAAAUGGGAGCAGAAGAUUGUAGCUGAAGAGACAACAUUCUCAUUGUCCGGGGACAAAGUUAGUAGCAAAAGCCCAUGCGUUGUUCGCGACAGGGUCAGCAACAUGGUCAUAAAGGUUCUGAAUAGGGCCCUUGCCAGUAACAAUGGCUUGAACAAAGAAACCAAACAUGGAGAACAUAGCCAGCCGACCAUUCUUGAGUUCCUUGACCUUCAACUCUGCAAAUGAAUCAGGGUCAUCAGCAAGGCCAAGAGGGUCAAAAGCACCACCAGGGUAAAGUGGGUCUAGUCCUUCGCCGAGGGGUCCUCCUCCAACUCUGUAGCCUUCAACAAAUCCCAUGAGCACAACCUGAGUAGCCCAGAUUGCAAGAAUGCUCUGAGCAUGAAUCAGGUUUGGGUUGCCCAAAUAGUCAAGGCCACCCUCCGCAAAGAUCUGGGAACCGGCUUUGAACCACACUGCCUCGCCGAAUUUAACACCAUUCUUUUCAAGGAGUUCGGGGAAGGUACAUCCCAAUGCACCAAGCAUAGCCCAUCUGCUGUGAAUUACUUCAAGCUCACGGUUCCUUGCAAAUGUUUCAGGGUCAGCUGAUAAUCCAGCU